GGGGCGGAGAGGUCGGCUGCCGGAGGGGAGGCCUUGGAGGAGGCGGAGGCGGCGGUCUGCUUGCCCUUGGAGUCCCGCUCCUUGUCCUUCUUGUCCUCCUUCUUCUUCUGCUGGUGCUGCUUGACGGCGUCUUUGAUGAGGGUGUGGCGGCCAACGGCGGGGUCCGAUUUGACCUUCUUCUUCUCGGAUCUGUUUGGAGACGCGAGGGUCGGCGUCUUCGGGCUAUUGGAUCCGUCGGGACUCGACGAAUCCGACUUCUUCGAGGAGAAGAACCGCCCCUUGAACACCAUCCUUCUCCCUCUCCUGCUCUGCUUCCCCUACCCCCUCUCCCUCUCGGCUCCUCCCAAGAGGGUUUUUGAUUCCCUUUUCGGAUUUGCGGGGAGAGUGGGCGGUGGAUGAUCUUAGAGAUGGGUGGGCAUUUUGGACAAGACCGGCGCGGCGGUGGCCCGAAGGAGACAGCGAGAGCGAAUGUAGGGAGGAGGGCAACAACGGUAAGCGGAGGAGGUUCAAGAGAGAUCAGGAAUUGGGUUGGACUGGGGAACUCGCUUGACUGUCAAGUAAAGAUUCGCACGUGCGAAGAAGGAUAUUAGAUGUAAAUAUGGUAGAAAUUGAAAGCGGACCGUUUAGGGUUUAGACACGUUGGAUGCACGUGACUGAUACAAGAUGAGCGGGUGGUGAUUGAUGGACGAUAGCCAUCCGCCGAGACAGUAAAGUAUCCUCUCACGUGUAAUGACCGAUGCAAGAUACUUCCGAGUGUUAGCACUCUAUUGUGAUUUAUUAAUCAUCUAGUUUACCCGAUGGUUGUUUUAACUCGCAUCCUCUUCUCAGAUUUACAGGCACCACUUUUGGGUAUCCGUAUCUGUCGUGAAGCAUCCGUUUACCAAAAUCUCUGGUCGUUUUACAGUUUUACUCACAUGGUCACAUCUAUUACCGAGUUUAUAGGUAUUUUUUUUUUAAAUAUUAUAAUAUAAUACUUAUAAAUCUAUAUAUAUAUAUAUAUAUAUAUAUAUAUAUAUAUANNNNNNNNNNNNNNNNNNNNUUAUUAUUAUUAUUAUAUAUAUAUAUAUAUAUAUAUAUAUAUAUAUAUAUAUAUAUAUAUAUAUAUAUAUAUAUAUAUAUAUAUAUAUAUAUAUAUAUAUAUAUAUUGUGUAUAUAAACAAAAAUUGAAAAAAAAUAAAUUAUCAAUUUUUAAUCUGUCUAUAUAAGCAUAAAAUUAUCAACUACGAAUACUAUUUGGAUCAAAAUAAACCUCCAAUAUGUCAUGUGAAAAUAUAAAGAGUGUGUGUAAAAAAUAUUAUGUUAUUAAAAUAUUAAAAGAAUCUUAAAAGCAUCUAUUGAAAAUAAAAGGAGAAUGAAAAACAUUAUAUUAUUAAAAUACUAAAUUAAAAAUAUCUUCAAAAUAUCGUGUAAAAAGAGAAAGAGGUAUAGUAUUAUGUCUAAAAGGAGGGAGUAAAAAGGUAUAGUAUUAUGAUUCAUAAAACUGACAAUUGUACUCUUACAAUUAAAAUCUACUCAUGUGAAUUGAAUUAGAAUUCAACAAAUCAUCUUGUUUAUAGUUCAUUCCACUACCAUUGUAUGUAAUCGAAAAUAUGAACUGACAUCAAGAAUUUGGAUGGACAGAUAUAUAAUCUAUUGUUUUGCUAUAGCUUUAUCAUUAAGCAUUGCAUUAUGAUGUUUAAAACUGACAAUUACACUCUUGUAAUUAAAAUCUAUUCAUCUGAAUUAAAUUAGACUUCAACAAAUCAUUGAUAAUUGUUUAUCAUUCAUUCCAUUACCAUUAUAUGUAGCCGAGAAUUUGGAUUAAUACUAGAAAUUCAGAUGGAUAGAUAUAUAAGCUAUUAUUUUGUCAUAGAUUUAUUACUUUGAAUUUCAUGAAUUUAUUAUUUACAAUGACUAGAUAUUAUUUGAAAAAAAAAAUAUUGUUGAUGAUUUAUAAUAUUUAUCAAUAUUAAUUUUAUAAUUAAUUAUUUAUUUAUUUAUUGUCAAAAUAUGUAAUUAAUUUUAUAAAAUGAUAAAUUAUAUUAUAAUACUCAAACAUAUAAUACACACACACCCACCAUUAAUCUAUAAAAUUCAUUUAUAUUUAGAUUGUUUACUAAAUUAUUUAUACUUAUUUUUACUUAAUAUUAUUUUUUGAUAUUAUUUAUAGAUUUGAAAUUUUCUAACCAAUUUUGAAGUUCAAAUAGUGAGAUUUUAAACAUUACCAUGGGUAGGCCAAAUUUUAUCGGUACCCUGCCCAUUGCCAUUCCUGCAAGAACGUGGGCAGAAGGUAGUUAUCAUCAACGGGGAUAGCAUCGAGGUUAUCUAUAAUUCCUUUCAUUUUCUGUAGUUACCUGUUGUUUGAAAGGUCCCCUGAUCUACAUGAUUGAGAAGCAUGCGGUUAUCUCUUGUUUGAAAGGUCCCAUAACCCAAGUACAUGAUCGAGAAGCAUAUAAGCACCGGACUGCAUUCCAAAAAGGAUACAGGGGACUGUGGGCUAGCGAGCGAGAGAUUUUGUUCCGUUAAAAGUUGACCUUGCCAUUGUCGAGUAGGCAGUAGCAUAAGCUGGAAUUUCUAUUGGUGCGGUCGCCGCGCGGUCGGUGGGGGAGACCAAGGAUCGUGGUGGAUAGGUGUUACUGCCGUCUACGUAUUCCAUGACCUCGUGCCCUCCAAGUGCAGGCACCUCCACUGGUCCUCGUGCUUCUCCAUUCACAAUAGUUUCCUCCGACUUCACCCAAAUCCAGUCCCAAUUCGUUACAGACCUGAUUCAGACCCAUGGGUUACCGAAGGCCAAUCUACAUCCGACACACAUGGGCGACCCAAUUUGUUACCCUUUCUAAUCCCAAUUGGGCCCAGCAUGAUCCAACUCGUGCCAAUUGGGACAUAUCAAUUAAGUAACAUCCUUUACCUACUUCAUUGCGCCCAGUAUUUCCAAAGUAAUGCUUAGGUUCAAAAGGCUAAAAUUAUUGAAAAGUUGCGUAGCCGGUGAGCUCAUGUAAAGUACAAUUUCCAUACACACGUUUCUAUAUAUUUACACAACAUUCGCCUUGUCUCCGUCACUCGUUUCAAAUGAGUAAAUUCUAGCCACAUAUUCUGGUCCCUCUAACGCAUCCUUCCAGAAGCCCUUCUAAUCUUAUCAUUUGAUGAGCUUAGGCAAGACCUACCAACUCAUUCAUACCCUUUAUCUAAUUGAACAAAAGUAUGGUUAUGCAUCUUAAUCCUCCAUAGCUAAGCCUUCACACAAACGGAGACUCUAACCAACGGCCCCUUCUCUAAAAACUGUGUGUGUACAACGAGAGGACUUUUUUUUUUUUUGAAAAAAAAACCCUUGAUUUCUAAUCAUAGUUAUUAUUUUAUUUAAUAUUUUUUAAUUUAUUAUUCUUUUUAUCUCGAGAAAAUUGAUAUCUAGAAGCUUGAGCAAAUAUAUAUAUCAAAUUAUAUCUUAUGACGAUGCAAUAAUCAUACAUGAAAUCUUGACAAGUUAUUUAGUCAUGUGUCACGCUGAAAGGAUAUUAUAUUUGAUAUUUUUUAUCAUUAUUUGUCAUAAUAAUUUGUUGAAAUAUUUUCAUUAAAAUAAUAAAGUUAUGCUUCAACACUAUACUAUAAACAAAAAAUAUUUUAAUGCUGGAUUUCAGUCUAUCAAGUUGUCUAACUAGUUAACAUGAGGCACUUGAAAAUCCAUCGGAAGUGAAUAGUAGAAGCCGAGGAUGACUGGCCAAAAAAAAUAAAAGAAAAUACUGAGAGUAAAAAGCGAAAUAUCACAUCUAUUGUGCAACGAUGCUGUAAUAGGACGUAUGCCACUACAAUCAACAUUUGAUUAAUCCACAGAUUUCAUUUUAAGUCUCCAAACAAAAUUUGUUCUCUAAUCAAUAUUUGGCCAUUUCUUUCCUUUUCUUUUUCUCUGCCUUUUUAAAUAUCUGUUAGGUGCAAUGAUUAAUCGGUGGCUCUUAAAAUUUAUAAUAGCAACCUCGAACAAAAUAAUUUGUGAUCCGGUUUUAUACAAAAAAUUAAUACUUUUCUUUCUUUGGAGAAAAAUGACGAUGUAGACUUUAAUGGUUCUUUCAAAUACCUACAUGAUUUAAAUAUCAUUCAUCUGAUCACAUAUCACAUUAUGAAAGAUAGGGAACAUUUUCAUGUAUUCUAAUCUUUAUUUAUAUUAGUUUAGGGCAUAUUAAAUAAUUUUAUAUGUACAACUAAAUGUAAAUUUCAUUUGCUCAUAGGAAUAUUGUAGAUUAGGAAAUGAUUUCAUUUUAAUAAAAAAAAAGGGUACUAUUAUCAGAAAUUCACUGACAUGAUAAAUAAAAGCUUCAAACCUUAUAAUGUCGAUAUAUUCUAUGAAAGAUUUUCUAUUAUAUUUAAAAUAUUUUAUUAAAAAAUAGUUUUUUUAAAAAGUAUCCUUCUCUCAUGUUGGCUGAAAAUUUAAUACCUUGGUUUAAAAAAUGUAUUGGUGAAUAACUUAAAAUAUCUCCGCUAUUUUCAACUUUUCUCACAUUCCAUCUCGACUAAGUCAGAUCUUCUAACUCCGUAUAGGCUCCAACCAAGGUGAUCACAAUCUACUGAUUUUUUAGUAAAAAUACAAAAUCAAUAAUUUAUUGCUCGAAAAUGACUAAUUGAUGGACCUAUUGAUUGAUAUUGCUUGCAAUAACUUAAUAAAUGCUUUAGUUCUACAAAAAUUAUUUUUACGAAAAUAAUUCAUGGAUGAGGAGACACAUAAUACUACUGAUAUAAGAUAUCCGAAUGGAAACCAAAUAAAAGAGGGAUUUAUCAAGGUAAGAGAUGAAGAUGUGUGGACCUAUUUAUAGUGUUACUAGUGAUGGACCCGUGCUUCAUGACAAAUAUGUGUAGAAUAUGAAAAAAUAUUUUAGAUAUUACAUAUUUUUCUCUCAAUUAGAAAGCAUAUAUAUUAUCAUGAGCAAUAUUCAUCCUUUCACAUAUGCAUUUAUAACACUCUUUAUCUAGAUAAUUAUUGUCUUCAAUCUCAAACCUUAAUUCAUCUUUCGGCACAUUUAUGGCAAAUUCAAUGGCUAUUUCUUUAGAUUUGAUCUCCACCAUUCCUGUAUGGGCCUAGAUUUUAGUACAUUCAAACAAGUCAUCAUCUUGUUCCUAACUCCAUUCUAAACAAAUUUUCAUAUAAACUCUUAAUAAAUAAUUAUCAUAUAAUUAUAACCUAUAUUCUAGUGUCAUGAGCUCUAACUUAGUGGUGAUCUCAUGUAGUAUUACUUUGGAUAAAAUUUUAAACAAAAUCAUAUAUGCAAUUACAUUUAUUCAUAAAAUUAUAAACCUAAUAGAAGAUUUAUGCCUAUAGCUAAAGUUUUUACGGUAAUGAUUACCUCGAUCAUAGCUCAAAUAAUAGUCUUUUAAUAAAAUAUUUAUUAAUUUAAAAAUGAUAAUAUAAAUUUAUACCAACGGAUGAAAACCAAUGCAUAAAUAAGCCAGGGGAUCACCUCUUUUCUCUUGCAAAAUAAAUAAAUUCUCCUGAAAAAAAAGCAAAUCAAAUAAAUAAAUAUACACAUAUAAAUAUACACAUACAUGCACAUAAUAGGAAAUAGUUUUUAUAGCAUAUAAUAUUUAUUUUAAAUUUGAAAUAACAUUAAAUUAAUAGGAUAUUUUUUCUAGCACAUACUUCUAGCAAUGCUGAUCCAAAAAAAAAAUCUAAGAAAAUUUUUUCUCAAAGCAUAACGAAAAACCCUUUCAGUUCACUUAUAUUUUAUGUACCUUUCUAUAAAAAUGCAUCUAUAUUUUUUUUAUGCAUACUUUUAUCCAUAUAAAACUUUAUGCCAACAUCCAUAAGAUAAACCAACUGUGCUAUAUAGAAUCUGACCUCUUUUUUUUUCUAUACACCCCUUUAAUACCAACUGUCAUUAUGUGACACAUACAAAAAUCGACAGCAUCUAUUGAAAUGGACUUAAAUGCCCUAACAACCAUCCUCCCCAUUCAUUCCUCUUCUCCUCUGCAUUAAUCUAGGUUGAAAUCGGAUCAAAUAUAGAUUGAAUAUCAAUAUAUUCAUAUCUAUAUUUCUUUUAUUUGACGAAUAUGGCUACAGAUACAGAUGUCAGUCGAAUACAAAAAUUUAUAUUCAUAUAUUUUUAAAUGGAUAUAGAUACAAAUCAAAAAAUAGAAGUAUGGAUACAACUACAGAAAUGAGUUGGAUAAUUAAAUUUUAUGAGCAUAGAGUCAAAGAUAUUACUAAGUCAAUAUUAAAUAAAACUAAUAGGAUGUUAAUGUGGUUAUAUAUUUAAAAAAAAAUUUGAAUAAUAUAUAAAUUUAAAUAAAAUUACAAUAGAAUCUAAUAUUCGGAUAUGGAAUGGAUAGUCACCUAUCCAUAUCAAUAUUCAUUUUUCUUUGACGAAUAUAGAUAUGAAUAUGAAUAUUAGUUGAAUGAUCAAAUUUCUAUCCGUAUUCAGAUAGAUUUAGAUAUAAAAAUUGAUAUGGAUGAAUAAUAUUUGGUCCACUUUCAUCCUACCAUUUAUCCUUUUACUCCGAUCACUCUCCUCCUCCCCUCCGAUCCCUCUCCCUUUGAUUUUUUUAUUUUACUCUACCCCUUUGCUAUUAUUCCCUCUCAUCUACCAUCCCUUACAAUCUAUCUCUCUCCUCCUCCCCAUUUCUCCCUUUCUUUGAUCCCUCUCCGCUUCCUUGCUUUUUCGACCCCUCUCCAUCCCCUUGCCAUUAUUCCCUCUUAUCUCUACCUAUCCAAGAAGAGAUCCGGUAUGGCCAGUGGUGAAUCCAUGCCCUCAUCCCUCUUCUACCCUCUUGAUCUCUUGUUGACCAACGAGUAGCAUCAUCCAUGGCAUACCUCAGAUAAAUAAGUUUCUGAUUUUUUUUCUUUUUUUCUCCUUUCAUCCACAUCUCUUUUUCUUCUGAUUUAUUUGUUUCUUUUUCAUUUUUUUUCUUGCAUCUUUUGGCCCGAUUGUCCCCAUCUUCCACCAACAAAAGCAACUGGGCACGGAUCUUGCUUCCUCAUCAUCCAUAGGUAAGAUUUCCAUCCUUUUAUCUCAAUUUUUUUCUUUUUAUCCAUUUCCUUUUCUUUUCCAUCUCUUCAGUAGCCUCCACAUCUCCCACCCUAGCCAUGAUUCUUAACCCUAAUUGGAAACCCUAACCCUAACCCUAUAUUGAAUCUUAAUCCUAACCCUAGUCCUAAACUAUGGUCAACAAACCACUAACCCAGUAACCUGAAACUCAAUAAUCCAUUACUCAAUUAUCUAAUGGGUCAACACCAUUAACCCGCUAUCCUGAUACGUUAACCCAUUACCCAAACCCAAAUCCAACAGCCAAGUCCUAUCGCCUAUUAUUCCAAUCCCGAGAGAUGAACCCAUUUAUCCAUUAAGAAAACUCGAUACACCAAAAAACCAUUUGCAUAACCUAUUAAAACAAUGACUUCAAUCUAAUCAUUUUUUUCGCCUCCUUUUCCUGUCUUUCAUCAACUUCCUAUACCCUCUUCCUAAACGGUGAGCAAUAGUUGAUAUAUCUGAAACAACAACACAUUUCCUUCUCUCAAAUAAUGGAUGUCUUCUUUGAGGAUUGGAAGGCUGCCAUAUCACAAACAACAACCUCCCACAGACUUGAUAAGGAAAAUAAUCGAUCGGGUUUUUCUUUUUCUUUCAUAAUUGUGCUCCUAACUCACUCUAUCUUCGAAUGGAAGUAGAUGGCUACUGCAUCCACAACAGCAACUAUUCCAAAUUUCUCUCGGAUGGUGUCCUUACCUCUUUAGGCUGAUGAUUGUACUCUUCUAAUACCAUCUUUUCUUCCUUCUCGAUCAUCCUCUUAAUACACUCCAACUCAACAAAAAAUAAAAAAAAAUUGCAUCGGAGAGUUGUUGCAUCCGCAGUUGCAACCCUUCCAAAUAUCUCUCGAAUGAUGUUCUAUCUCACCAAACUGGUGAGAGAAGGAACUGAGAUACUAUAGCAAAAAUAGGAAAAAACCUAGACCUACUCUUUUAUAGAAGACCACGCCAAUUCUGUUGUUCUUUAAAUCUAUAGAAGCUCCCUAAAUAUAAUGGAGCUGGAGAAUUUUUGUGACAUGAUUGGCCAUUCUCCUCCCAUCCAUUUCUUCCUUUCUUUUUUUCAAAUCAAGUUUGAAACUUCUUUUCUCCCUCUAUUUUAUAUAUUUUCAUUCUAUCCAAUUGAUCUUGCCAAACCUCAGAUUUCUUUUUCUCAAUAAAGAGGAAAGAAAAAUCUUUAUUCUACCUAUUGGGACAAUUCAAUCAACCUUCGAUUCUGACUCUACAUCGACUUUAUGAACAUAAUAUUCUGACUAACAAUCAGUUGACUGACCGACAGUCGGCUAUUAUCAACCAACAACAGACAACUUAGUUAAUCUCCGAUCGAAAAUCAUCGACAUAUCAAAGUUACUGAUCGAUGUGCAUUCGGAUCUCUACGACUACCGACCUACUACUAUUACUGACUUAUAGUCGGCUUACUUGAAGCUGCCAGCGUAGAAGGCCAAAAUGUGGUAUAACCGCUUAUCCCACGAUCACAUAACAUCAGAAUGUGCGGAUCCCACGUGUAUAACCGUUAUGAAUGGUUAUUGACUAUAUGUUAUGAUCAUUAAUUUGUAUAAACAGCCAACUAACUCCAUGAUUAUAGUCUAAUAAAAAGCAAGACCACGUACUCGAUAGUUACAUCUGAAUCACCUAUAAAAAGGAGGUAAAUGAACAACAUUGAAAAGAUAAUUUCUGGGCUAAAAUUCUGUCAUUUCAAAUAUUCUUCAUCUGCUGUUCAUCACUCUCCACUGACUUAAGCAUUGGAGGAUUUUCGUCGGACACAAUUUCGAUCAGUGCAGAUUUUUUUUGCAGGUAUUCUUCUCCGGUGACGGACGCAACAGGGGAUUGACCGCAAUAGAUUAGCACGCUAAGUAGGAAAAAAAAUAUAAGCAACCAUACCAAAAAUCAGAGCUCAACACUCGAUAGGAUCAGUGAGGCAGUCUUCCUGCCGAAAAGAUGUUCCCCCCCACCUCCAGUGGCAAAAUCCAGUUCUUCGUAUCCUGUAGUUACUACAGACGCACAAAUUGCUGCACUUAUGCAGCAAAUGAAGGUACUAAUGAAGACGGUUCAAAGUCUCCAGCAGCAGCAAACUCAGCAGUAGCAACAGCUGCCGGCGGAGGAGCCCAAACCACAUAUUCCAUCUUUUUUCCCCUCUUCACCCCAGCAGAUGUAGCACAAUUAGAUGAUGAAUCAACUUAACAUGAUGAUGCAAAUGGAGUGGAUGAUAUAGCGUACGGAUUUAAGGAUGUGAGUAGCUAGCUACAAUAUUGUUGUUGGCUAUGUUUAGAAGCUUGGCUUUAGCUCUAUAGAAAUUUCAGUCCAAUUGAUGUAAUGGCUCUAUCGAUAAUUGCAGCUAUUUUGACCUUCUAUCAAACAAACUAUCACUGAUGUAACAUAACCCAUUGUCACCAUACAUCAUAUUAACGAUGAGAAAGAAAUCAAAAAUCUAUUUCUCUUUCAACAAUUUCUAGUGCAUGGCCUUAUUAUUUUGUGAUAUGUGGUGGCUUUAUAAAUAGGUGACACAUGUCACCAUGGGAGAAUUCUGAACUUUCUUUUCAUAUAUUAGCAAGAUUUUAUAACAAUCAUCCAAAAGAGUGAAAAAAUAUCACAUUAUUAUGGUUGAUAUUUAAAAUUUAUUAGAAUCGAUAUCAGAUUGGAGCUUCAUCCUUUAAGCCAUCGUUACAAUUGGAAGUUGGCAUCAUGACCAAUGGUGCACCACUAAUGCCACUAGCCUCCAUCAAGGGCAAGAAAAUCGUGGGACCAUAUUGGAAGCUCGGUUGCAAGCCGAAGCCGAAUGAUAGGAUAGAUUUCUACUUUCAUGGAUCCAUAUAUCAGGCUUCUACUUUUGUUGCAAAUGGGGUGUCCCUGGAUCAGGGCACAAAGUAGCAUCAGUGGGUCAUUAAUUUCUCAAAGUAGAAGGCAGUUUUAGUUGGACUUCCAUGUAUGGCAUUGGUGAUGGUGGUGGAGGCCUUGCAAGUUGGUUCUUGGGGGCAAAUUCCUAAGGAUUAAGGAUUUAUCUUUCACACACACAAGAAAAAAAAGGAUUUGUCUUCUUUUAUGCAAAUCCUGUUGCUUUAAAAUUUCUGCACAUAGAUAAAUAAUAGACUAUGGAGCACUUUAAAAUCAAUGUGAUGAGUGAGCAAAUAGUUGAAUUGAGCGAAAGAAGGCGAAUCCUUCUUAUUUGCCAACCCUCAUCCAUCCAGCUCUCACCCAUGCAAGCUGGCACUUCAUCGAGACAUGCCUCUCGCACGACGUCUUUUUUUAAUCAUUAACAUCUAGUGCUGCUGGUUUUGAUCGUUUACAGACUGUUUUUGUCCAGCCAUCGACUUUUGAUUCGUUCUCUCUUGAUGGCAAUUGAUGUGUCUUGUAUAUUUCUAUAAUAUAAUAAUAUCUUCUACUUCCCAAAAGAAUAAAAUAUUAAAAUCUCUUUUAUUUUCCUGCAAGUUUAUUCCUAUGUUGUACAGAUAAAGUAAUAUAUACAAGGAAAUCAUGUCUUCUUGUGCUGGGUUGGCCUAGCAGAAUGGUGACUAGCCUAAGCUUGGUCCUACUUCAAGUUGGGAGCUCAAGUUCAACUAACGUGAUGAUAAAUUGAUUAAGCCCUUCAAAAACUUGGGUUGGAUGGAACAAGCUAUGAGCUACGCGAGCCCAACGUGCAUCUCCUGUCUCGUUGUGAGUUUGUCGAUCUUGUCAAAAUAAGAAAAGAUUUAAAAAAAAAAUGUUUAGAGAGGAUAAUUUGGAAUAAAAUUUUAAAAUAAAGAAAUAAAAGGAAAGAAGAUGGCCAUGAUAUUUUCUUCUCAUAAUAGGAUUAAAAUCGGAUCAGAUAUACAUUGGAUACCAAUAUAUCCAUACCCAUGUUUAUCUUAAUUGAUGAAUACAAAUAUAGAUACGAAUGCCAGCUAGAUGAAAAAAUUGAUAUCUAUAUUUAUUUUAAAUAAAUAUGGAUAUAAAUUAAAUAUCGAAAGCAUUGAUGUAGAUAUAAAUAUAAGCCAAUAAUUAAAUUUAUAAUCAUAAAAUCAAAGGAAUUACUAUGUAGAAGAUAAACAAUAAAAUUAAGUUAAUACCAUAUUUAUAUAAUCAUUUAUUUUUCUAAAACCUCAUUAUUACUAUGUAAAAUUAAAUAAGAUUAUAAAUAGAAUUAAAUAUUCAAAUAUAUAUAUAUAUAUAUAUAUAUAUAUAUAUAGUAGAGANNNNNNNNNNNNNNNNNNNNAUAUAAUAAAUAAUAUAAAUAUAUAUAUAUAUAUAUAUAUAUAUAUAUAUAUAGGAGCAGAUUUGGGUAAGAUCGAUCGAAUUUGGGCUUAAAUCCGGUCAGAUCAAAACUUGACAAUGAGUAUACUAUAAUUAAUGAUCCAAACUGAUAGAUAUAAUCUACUACCUCAAAAUUAUUUGUACAUAAAAAAUCAUAUGAUUUGAAGACUCUUAACUACUUGAUGCCUAAGCUAGGAGUUUCCAAACCAUAUAAUUUUUUGUUUGCAAGCAGUUUUAAGAUAGUAAAUCAUAUCAACUGAUUUGGAUCAUUGAUGUAGAAUUUUUAUUAUAGAGUUUUGAUCUAAUCAGAUUUGAGUCCAAAUUCGAUCAAUCUGGUUCUAAUCUGACUCUUUCUCUAUAUAUGUAUAUUAAUUGAAUGUUCAAAUUUAUAUUUAUAUUUGAACCCUCUAUGAUCUGAAUUAUGUUCGCAUAUCAUGAUAGGUCAUCUAAUCUCACGUUAUUUCCUCUCCCACCACCAUAAAUACUCCAACGUUUAAGUUUUCGCACCAAGAAAAGAAAUAAAAAAAAAGGUACAUACCCUCAGAAAAAAAUAAAAAAAGGUACAUACCCUCAAUACUGGUAGACUGUUUGUUAAAAUAAAUGAAAUAAAAAUAAAAAUAUAUAAAUGACGGUCCAAUUCUAAUACCACACGGAGAUUGGUGUGUUACGACAUGGCCGUACGGGAUUGCUGCGAUAUGAAACGGAAAAAAAUAUUUCGGUACCAGGGUUGGGCCCGAUAAUUUCGGUUUCCGCAUUUGGAGAGGCGGGUCAAGUGAACCGGGCUUUCACACCAUGUGCCAUGGUACCAGCAACAUUUUCUUUAUCGUCCGCGGCUAUCCAAAUUUUCCUAAUGCCAUUGGCAUUGGCAUUUCUUCGAGACAACAAGCUUUUGAAGAAGAGAUUGCAGUGAAUGCCUCUGUCGUGAAUUCUACAUUUGGUGCUUUCCCUCCAUGAUAAGAGAACUACUUAUUAGUUUAAACGUCUUAUUUUCUUUUCCGAGCCAUUUAUAAUUUUAGCUUCUUCCUUCCUUUCAUUUGCAGGAACACUUCAAAGCCCUCUGCAUCUACAGCACAGCUGACCAUAUUUUACAGAGGUUCAGUAAAUGUGUAUGAUGAUGUCUCAUUGGAGAAGGUAGAAUCCAUUCCUAUUAUGGAAUUUUGAUGGACUAAAUUAGAGAAGCUACAGUUGCUGUCCAACAAUUUGAUGGUGAGGUGAAUUUUUUUUCCCCUUUAGCCUCAAGAGAUUAUGUUUUUUGCGAGCAAUGUGCCUAACAUGACUUCCAAUUCUGUGAAUACAAGAGCCGAGCACGUAUAGUGGAGCCGAUUAAAGUGCCAGAAGUUGAUGCCUCAUGUACAAAAGUAAAACAAGGCCAGAGCCAGAACCAGCCGACAUCAAAAUUGCUUGGGUUUUUUGAGUCCAGUCGCCCUUAUUUCAGCUGCUGGGGCUCCAUGUGGCAGUGUUUCUAGCAACACCAAUGAUAUGCUGGGGGCAAAGUGUCAGGCUUUCGAUGGAGCCUCUUAAAAAUGCUAACUCUACCCUGGAGAUUGCUGCUUCUGUACGUCUCAUGCCUGGAGGUAUUUGUUGCACUGUGGACCUUUUAUUUGUCUAGUUUCAUAUGUCAUAGUAAUUUGAUGUAAAUAUUAAGGUGAAUUUUGUUGAAGCUUGAGUUCUCUUAUAACAAAAAAUUGUGUUUCUUCAUAGCCAAGAGUUCCUCUUUAAUGCAAUCACGUUAAUGUAGUUGUAAUGUGUUAUGUCAGCCGUACAUCAGGCUCUAAAGGCAUCUAUAGCCCGGUUCCUGGAAAAGCAAAAGGAAAGGUAAUAAACAAUAGUCUUUUCAAAAUUCCUUUUUAGGCUCACCUCAAAAUUUUGUGUUUAUAAUUUGCUUCUUGAGACAAACCUAUGGUCACUGUUGGUUCAACAUUGUUUUAUUCUAUUGGUUCCACAUGUUUUUGAGCUUUAGAGAUUCUUAUUCGUAAUCUUUUAGAUGACAGUUGUCUUCAUAAGCCGUGAUUACCAAAAUGUAUUGGAUGUUUAGAAGGAAGUAGCCUGAUAAAAUAAUGGCAAUUAAUUGGUCUUGAAUAUGAUAUCUUUGAGUAGGAGGUUUCAUUGUUAUCUCGAUUUACCUGAUUGGUUGUAAUCAAACCAUCUUCUUUCCAUGCAACAAGAAAUCACCUGAAAGUAUUUUUUGGUUUCGAAGGUGCCAAUUGGAUUGCAUCAGCUGACAUAAACUUCUCCUAGUCUAAGAGAGCAGUCAUGGUAUUUGGGCCAACGAAUUAACAACACAGAAAGUGCAUGAUCUCCGAGUACCAGAUUAGAGAUUUAAGGUUGUUGAUGUGAGGUUGUUCUAUUUUUUUUCUGUACUCAUUCUACAUCAUUUUUCUAACUUUUCAUUUCAUUUGAGGUUUUACCAUUUAACAGCACAGGGAUGUUUUUAUAGUAUAUUGAUUUGGUAGGCUUUCAUAUGAAAUGACGACGAUAGAACUUCUGUGCCAUGUUUUUUUUUCUCUUUUCUUUCUUUAUUUCUUUUUCAUAUUUCCCCCGUUGUCAUCUUGCAGAAAUAAUACCAUUACGCGGCAUCCAGCAACCUGGCUCCUCUGCGCUCCGCGAUUUGCACCGUAAAAUAUUCUACAUCCUUGGACGGCCGUCAGGAAAUAUUUAUGGAUUGUUAUGUUUGAUGACCAUUCUUCUUUUAAUGACGGCAGUCUCAAAACAAGGCCUUCUGCAUUGUAGAGGAUUCGCGCUUUUUCAACGGAAUACAUCGAACUCCCGCCUCAAGAAUACAAAUUCAUAGCAGUCGGUCUCAUUCGUACAUAAAUCACUAGGAUGUUUAAAGCUCAAAACAUUUAAUUUGGGAGUUUUUUUUUUUUUUUGACUGUUUUAAUUAGGGAGUUACUUAGGGGAGCUGCGCUCUUGCAAGGUGAGAAAGAUGAGGUAGGUGUGUAGAUCAACUACUUGUACCAAGUCCGCUUGCAAGUUUCUAAGGCUUUAGUACAAGAUACUCAAAGCUCAUGAAAAUGAGGGAGUUACUUUGGCCUGAUGGAAAUAGUUCAAAUAAACGGGUUUGGUUUAAAUAAACUUGCUAAAUGCUGCAACGUAAUUCACGCGAUUCACAAGAUUGGCGCGCUUUCAUUGCUGGGUUGCGGUGCAAAAUCCGAAUCCCCUGCCUAUUUGGAAAGCAGUCUUGGACAUGAAAAUUGUGGUAAUAGGGUUGUGCUAUGGGGCUUUAUAAUCUUUUUCCUCAUGGGCCAAUAUAAUCUUUUUUGAUGUGGAAGGGCCAAAAUAAUCUUAUCCAGAAGAAUGUUUGCUUACAAUGAUCUGAGAACUACUUACAGCGAGUGGACCGAUAGCCAACGCUUUUUGUGGAGGAUUCAGAUCCUCUCACCACAGCCAGUGACCUAAUUCUCGCGAGCUCUAGCCUUCUUUUCCGCAACAUCUCUCCAGUGUCCAGAGGUUGAGAUAUUGAUGAAGGGCAGGACUGAGCCAAAGCCCGAGGGGCACAAUAGUACAAUACAUUGCCGUCUAGCUCUGGAAUAGGACGGACGGGAUAUGACUGAAACUUUAGCGUGAGGCUCCAUUGGUCCGAAGCCCAUGGGAGGAUUAGAUCCUCCAACGCAACGAUAUCUGGCCCAACGAAUUAAGAAGGCACAAUAUCGAACAAAAUAGAGAGAGAAAGAGAGAGGCGCCGGAGUUCAGGAAUAUUAACAGGGAAAGAGGCGCCGGCGACUCUCCAUUCCAACCACAUUAACAGGGAAAUCUGAUUCCAACUCAAAUUCCAGGUAGUUUAUUCUUGCGAACCAGGGCCAUGAGAUGAUCCGAGGGACCACAAUCCUAUUGGUUAGUUGUUGUAAAUUAAAACACCUUCUACAUCCCCAAGUGAAGCUCGGGCUGAGCUUCUCAUAUACAAGCUUGAAUCCUACCACCUGGUUCACCUUUUGAGUUAUGAAUUUGCUUAUAUCUCGAGGUGACCCAUAUAAUCAAGAAGACGAAUGAUGCUGCAGAUUGGAUGGCCUGACCAGUCACUGAUUGGAUGGGCCUUUUAUAUAGCCAGCCACUCCAUGGGCAUAUUAUAGGGAUAUUUGUCUACUAUUACCUAUUCAACUUCCGACUAUCUUGUCCCCAGGCUCCUCGGAUUGUAUUUACCAUAGGGUGAGAUGAGACACCCGAUAUAUCCCAAAAAAAAAUAGGAAGGGUGGGGGGUUUAUAUCCCGUUGAUCCAUUUCGGAUCUUGCAAGAAUUGGACCAGAAUCACAGAAUACCACACCAAUCUCGACCUCACCUGGUCCUUCCUGGAGGCAACCCACACUCUCCAUCUCUGUUGAGCUCACAUCGGAUUAAUGGCCAACCCAAAUCACAUAUGGGCCCACAGAGCUUCUUGUGACUUAGGACUUAAUCCAGGUUGAUGCGCUGAAGGCCCAGUCCACUAGACAUGCUCUACUCCAUAAAGCCCUAAACAUAGAUUAUGUGCUGACUAGAGCCACCGGAAAUUCUGCCAUACAUGCCUUUCUGAUUGUUGCUCAACUACAUUUACCGUUAUGAAUGAUAAGGUUAGCAAAUUAGUAAGGUAAGAUUUUAUUGAGGGCCGAGGCUUGUCUCUAGAUUUUCAUGUCAAUAGAGGAGGAAGAAUACAAUAGCAGGCAUCUAUAGGCCUCCCAAUUUUCCGCAUAAUAACUUAACAGCAGAAGAGAAGUUUGACCAUUUUGCAUGUUAAUAUGAAACUUAUUGUGGCCAAAGGCUCGUAGGUUGGCAUGUGAGAUAUUAUCCAUUAUAGUUUAUGGAUCUCACGAUUUUAUCUUUCAAAAAAUAUCUUAUGUAGAAAGGAUGAUUUCUUUCUAUAUAAGUUAGAAUCUUCUUUGACUCACAAUCAAUGUGGGACUAAUAAUAUCCUUCUUUCUACAUUAUAAUAUAACUUUUCACUCAAAGAAAGUUUGUGUAUGAAAGGGAGGUAUCCUCUUUAUUUUUUACGGUAUCCUCUUUAUUUUUUACUACAAUCUCUAGUAAAGAAAGAGUCCGUGCACGGACAGGAGGUUUCCUUCUUCCUGAUUUUAGAGCUCUUUAAGGCUUUACAGUUACAAUGUGGUCCCUUACCUAUAGUAUCAUUGUUGCGAUAAAGGACUCAUGGUACGAUAGAGAAGAUAUUGUCCGUUCUGAUCCAUAAAUCUCAUAAUUUUAUCUGUUAAAAAAUGAUUCACGUGAGAAGGAUGACUUUUUUCUAUAUAAAUUAAAUUUUUUUAUAAUUAAUAUAAAAUUAAUAAUACCCUCCAUUUUAUAUUAUAAUAUAAUUUUUAUGAUAUAAAUUUUUUUUUAAUAAUAUAUGAUUAUUGUGAAUAAUAAUUCACCUACCAGACCAUGAGCACUUGGCCGCAAAGGGCUUAAUUUGACUUAUAUGCAGAAUCUUCUCGCUUCUUAGCGUCAAAUUUAGAUUACCAGAAACAACUGGCUUAUGAAGUUUGAAUUUAUAGAUCCUUCAUUAUAAUAUUUUUGUACAAUCUUCUCAAGUACCAAGGUGCUCCCGAGAACCAAUACAACAAGUGAACCAGAUUUCCAAGCCUCAAAUUUGGUUCCCUGAUAUUAAGAGGACGGACGGGACACCGAACAGCACAUCGAGGAGACGCAGUAAUUGCGUCACUGUGAUGCAAUAAAGUGGUCUUGCUUGUCGGCAUGGUGCUUUUGGUGGAUGUUUGCAUUGUUUCACACAAAUUAUGAACAAUAUAACCUCAUCGAUUCUCUAAAAGACUUUUAGAUGCUAAAUUAAUGUUAUCGUAGUGGAUGGGAGCAUUUAAUCAGGGACCCUUGUACCUGAAAGAAGACUAAUAUUCAAAAAGUUCACUCUUGCAAGCUGUCGCAGCUCGUCAACAAACAAGAAUGAUGUAGAAGCCAAUGGUGGGCAGUGGAGGAUAAGGUACUAACGUAAAAAAGAGUGACAUUUCCAUAAAUAAAGGCCACAAGGCUUUCACUGGAAGGUGGUGGCCAUAGGGACGUUUAAGAAACCGGGAGGUCUGACCUCUCUACUUGAAUCACAACCUCACUCCAUCCCUUGGACGAUUCCCAGCUUCAUUGUGUUCCAGUUGGGCAUCUCCACAGCACACUUUCUGAAGGAAAACACUUGUCAAGAUGGGGCCCCAUUGGCUCAAAAGUAAACCAAGUGACGAGAGAAUUCUUAGUGCAUCAUAUACUGAGCUGAAAACUGCAGUUGUUGGAGGUCUGACAUUUUUAUCAUAGUCUCCAUCGGAGGAAGUGUUCCCAUGUAGCUUGCUAUAGAACAUUGGCAACUGGUCGAUAUCACCGACUGAUCAAUUAGGACGAUUCGAUUCACACUCAAAAUAGCUGGCCUGAAGCCACUGGAUGCCACACAUUCUACUGCCUUUAUUUUAGUACCAGGUGACCUUGUUUGAGAUAUCCCUUUAGGUGGGGGUGGGGGUGGGGGGGACAGCUGAAGUGAACCAGUAAGUGUGUGUCCAUUGUUGAAGAGCACCAUGAUUGGUGGCCAACAAUUAAUGGGGGGACCAAGCACAUCCCAUGACUCUAGUUUAUCCAGGGUUUGUGAGCCACUGCAGAGGUAUAACAAAGAAUACCAGUGACUCAAGAAUAUAGAAUUACAUAGCAACAUCAUUCCAUUAUCUUCUUCUUAGCCCACUUGUUAUUCCACUUCUCUUCGUUCAUCCAAGAAAGCACUUGUGACUUCUUAAUUCUUCUAUAUGUUUCCAAGCAAUUAUUGUAGAGCUUCAUACGUCCUUCUCAUUCAGAGUCCCUUUUGUCUAGCUGAGUUGUUAGACACUUUGGACACUGCCAUGCUUUAGUUGUCACAGAAAUUAAAAUAUAAAGAAAGUAAUCUUUUUCAUGUAUCUGUUCUUAGCUUUCGCUUGCUUGUGGCCGCCUGUGUCCCAUCGUCGGAGGCCUAGUCACUAUUCCGUUAUGGCAGAUCCAAUGUCUCGGACCUUUAGAUCUUGGUGGAGAUUGCUUUUGCACCAAUAGAAAUGUACAAUCUGCUUUUGUGGUUGCUACACGUUUUAGCCACUUGUAUAGUUUGAUAUGGAGAUAUGUUUAAAUGACCAGUUUAUGGAACCAAAAGUCUCAAAGCAUGGAACCAUGUGUUUAAUAGUAUUUCCAUCUUAAUAACUUUAAAAUGUCGCUCAUUGAAAAUUUUCUUGAUAUCAUGAUGAUGAAAAAGUAGGCACAAUGUAGGAUGUAAUUUGUAUAGGUUAUUUCACCUUAGAUAGCUUUUGAUGCCAUUCGAUGACAUGUGAAAUGUUAAUUAUCCUGAUUCAUAUUAUGUUGGGUCUAUAUUCUUCCAAAUCCAGCUAUAAAAUGGCUGAAUUAAUUUGAGUCCGUUGUUAUGUGCCAACUGGUGUUGCAAACAUAAGUGUGAAAGAUUAGCUGCAUGAAUCGGGGUUCAUCCUGGUAAUUUGCUAUGCUCCUCUUAUUAAAUAGGUCUAAGAUUCCAGUCAUCAUGAUGUCCAUUUGAGAAAUCAAAUUUGGAGCUGCAGGUUUCGAACUUUAGGGAAAAGACAUAUUCGAAACUUAUAAUUUCAAAAUGUCGUGAUUUGAUUAUUUUUUCAUGAAAUCCAUUUCAUCAAAAUUGGCAAGUUUUAAAAUUUGAAAAAUAAGUCCUAUAAAAGAUAUACCAUUCUUUGCAUUUCGAUAUAUUUUUCUAAAAUUAUACUUCAUUAUUAUUUAUUUUAGAAAAACUCGUAGACAGCCAAACAACCUCAAGGUAUCGAAUACUGGUGACCAUGGCCUGAUGCCUGAUAUUGGCCUGUCCUAGUUCAUCGAGAACGAGAGGGGAAAAAAAGGCAAAAAAACAGAGAUUUCACAGGGAAUCUUGUUCUAUUUCGAACACGCAAAACUCUUAGUGUGGAGAACAUCCAGCUAGCUGUGACACACUCGUAUAGCUGCUAGCAAAUCAACGAAAUCAGCCGACUCGGUGGUUGGAAGGAGAUCUUGUUGGUGCAACCGCGUUUCAAAGUUCAAAAUCACCUUAAAAAAAAGGGUGUUUGCCGCGUAGUCUAACGUCAAACAUCCAGGAAAGGGAGUGAGGAACCCCAGUGGUGACGUUUUAUUUGUUUCUGUGCAACUAUUUCCUCCUAACUUCGCUACAAGUGCUGUGCUUUUUCCAAAGACCAGAUCCAUCGCGUGAGCAGUGAACUUCAGCAAAGUGACGUGCCUUGGGGUCAUUUAUCCCGGGAAUACUCUCGUUGAAGCAUACUUAACUGUUGAAUUCUAAUAAGAUUAAAAGAAUUUACAAAGAUGAUCAACAGAAAAGAUAAAAAAUUGAUGUGCCUUUAUAGUCUUGACCUAGGUGGAUUAAUGUAGGUGCGAGCAAGUUCUGAGACUACUGAUGAGACUAGGUUAGACUAAGUGCAACGGGGGGAGAAGGAGAGAUUUUUUGAAGUAAUCAACAAAACAUCCUCAUGUAUAAGACUUUUCUUUCUAUGUUUUGCUGACCGAUCAUCAAAGAUCCAAACCAACCAACUUCGUAUUAUUUUGAGCUGAAGUGAAAUGGUGAUGGUGGUCACCACCAUUUCGUAAAAUUGAUGGAAUGAUACGUUAAACUUGGAAGUUUAUCAGUGAAUUAGAUUGUCGACUUCGAAAUUUCUAACUUGAAUUCUUGCAUCAACCGGUCUUAUAGUCAUCCACAUAUUAGUUUGUGUGGACAAAUCUUGCUCUCAAACUUCUAUCAACAAAUGAAAAUCUUGAUAGAUUUUAAAGCUUUUGAUUUAUCUUAAAGUUUUUGCGGAAGGAAUACUUAGAUCAAUGUCACCAUUUUUCAAAAUGAUAUGAGGGAUGAAAGGCCAACCACUUCUAGAUGGAAAUAGUUAUAUAAUAUGGCAGUUACUAGCCUACAGAGUUGAAAUGCUUGUCAUAACAAAAAGAACUACAUAUGCCAACUAAAAUAAUGUUUCUAUAUAUUUUAAUUAACAUGAAAUGUAAUUAACAUGUGUGAAUCAUUUGUGAAUUCCUGCAUAUAAAAGUCAAGUGGAUGGCACCUUGAUAAAGAUAUAUAUUAAAAAAGACUUCAAUACAUAUUAAUAGACAUGAUUGUUAUAAAUGGUAAUUCUUGCUCAGAUGGGAAGGCAUGAUACCUAACAAGCAUUCACUCAUAAUACAUAUUAUUAAAUAUGAUAGAAAAAGGCCUAUUGAGGAUAGAUAGAAAACAAAUAUGACAAAUGAAAUUAGGCUGAGAGAGAUCAUGCAUAUCUAUUACUAUUUAUAGUAGAACACAGAUUUUAAACAAAAUGAAACUUGAAGAGAAGGUUUAAAUGUUCUUGGAAAAAAAGUGAUGGCCAAAAUCUAGCUGAAAAUAUUCAGUAUUCGAAAAUCUCUCUCUCUCACACUCUCUCUCUUACAAUAUGGCAAAAAGUUAAUUACAUGCUACAACUAUGCAAACAUUUGAAAAUUUUUAUAGAAAAUCUAAAGGUCAAAUUCAUUCAUAUUUACAUCACAGCAUGAAAUCAUAUUGUCAUUAUUCAAAUAUUAGUUGAUUAUACUCAAAAAGAAAUAAUCUUUUAGCCCCUUCUAUACCAAAUCGGGUUGAAAAUGUCUGAUAUUUUUUUUUUAAAAUGGACUUAUAGCAAUUCCUUCUAAAUGAUUACUAUGAUUAAGGUGAUGUGUGAUUUAGGAUUCACAUACGAGAUGCAUAUCACAUUUAUGUGUGUGAUUAUUUAAAGAUAAAUAAAGUAGCUAAACAUGCACUUUGGAGUGAUUUCAAAGAAUCAAUCGGACCAAGCUUUGGCUUCAUCUUGACUAAACUUACGACCGAGGCUUUAGCUCUAACCUCGAGACCUAAAUUGGGUCGGAUUUGAGUUUGCACCUAUGUCUCAAAAUAAUCUUCACUUGUUGAGAGCUCACACCCAGCUAACUUAGUUUCAUGAAAAAUUAUUGAUUGGAUCAGGUCCACUACAGAGUUGGUGGACCAGUUCAACCACAAAUGAAGACGACUAAACACCGAGGAAAAUAAAAGGAGGGAGAAAGGAGCCUCAGUUUCUCUUUCUCCAUAUCUGUUUGUGGUUGGACUGGUCCACCACCUAGUCCAACUGAAAAUUUUUUUAUUUUUGACAUUACUAGUUAGUCUCCAUAGUGUGAUAAGAAUGUGGAUACAAAAGAAUUCCUUAUAACAUGAUAUCAGCAUGCUCAUAGGAGUGAUUGACACGGGGAGGACCACCAAUUCCUUUCCUAAAGCACUAAUGAUGUGGUAAGAUUCCAAUGUACUAGAACCAUUAGGACAUAUUUGAGUGGCCUUUAACUAAAAGCAUGGUCAUCACAAAGGAAACGGGCGUGAGAAACGACAUGCAAUCCGGGAGUAAGAAAAGAUGGUCGGAAAGGGUUCCAAGUUUUUUUUUUUUUCCUUAAAUCAUUAUUAAAAGAGAUGGAUAACUUACGUGAAACACACUAGAGAUCAAAAGAGCACCACGAGAAACUACUACGUAAUUACUUUCUAGCAGCUUCCCAUCUGUUUCUCUAAAAUGUUGGUAUCUGAUUUUUUUUUUUUUACUUGCUAGUUAUAAAGGGACUAGAGUAGAAAGUUAAUUACUUGGCUUGGCUUGCAAGACUAAUGGGUGUCUAGAAUUUACCUGUAAAAACUAUAGAUGCGACUGGAAAGAAUCAAAAGUUACUUGUGGAAAAUGCUCGACUACCCUUGCGUCAACAUGGCUUAAUUUCGUUGUCAUUGCACGUUUUGAUCAGCCAAUAUUUAAGCAACAAAUUAAAACUUUAUGGUCUAUGAGGUAGCUUCCUCUCCCAUGCUCUGGGGAAAGCAAGCAUAGAUUCAACUUACUUGACCUACUGUAUGCUUCCAGAAGGAAGGAGAUAUUGAUGAACAUUGCGUAGAAAUUUCUCAGCAGUCACAUACCCUCAAAAUAUAUACGUUGGAAUCACUUCCCUUGGGCAUGAUGUUGUAGAAGUGAACAGACUAUGGCAUAAAAUUCCAUGCCUAGAUAGAAAUGAGUCUUUAAGGUAGGAUUAUUCACUAUAGGUGGUGGAAAAUUUGAAGUACUACUAGCAUUUUUCUUUUUUCUCUCUGAAAUUGUAGUUUGAGUGAUUGAUUCAGCCCUACCAAAGCUCAAACAGAAUGCAUAAUUCUUUCUAUCUCAUGCCCCCAAGGGCAUCAUUGUCUGUUGAUCUAGCAAAAGAAAUACACAAACAUUAAAUUUGGAUAUGUUUCUGCAUUAUAAUGAUUUUCCAUUCAGGUUUAUUUCUUCUCUUUGCGUGUAACAAAGUUGAUGAAGCUACGUAGACAUAAAUUUACAAAUAGACAGAUCUUACGGUUUAUUUCCUUCUCCUUAUUCUGAACGUUUCAUGUACUCCGUUCAGAACAAGGUAAAAGAAAGAGAAGAAAAAAAGAAGAAAAGAGAAAAAAAACUAGAGCCUCUCUAUUUAAUUAUUUUUUCAGCUAUCGAAUUGAACAAAGAAGCUUCCAAAGAAAACUGAGAUCGAGUACAUUCUUCCCUUUUAUUUCAUUUGUGUACACUAAUUACAAAACCAUGGAAUAAGCAAUCGGAACAGCUUCUAGUUCCAUGAUUCUUGAUCCCCGGCAGUUCUUUGAUACAGCUGGUUUAAAGGAUCAAAAGCUAGUUCCCCAUCUCCAUUAUUAGGGAUGGGAUCCCAUUGACUGAAGUCAUCCAUUCCAUAGAAGUACAUGGGAUCUGGCCACUCCAUGCAAGGAAAUUGGAUCUCUUCAGCUUUCACUGAUGGACUAGACGAAAGGCAUGAUGAUGGUAAGGAAGUAGAGGAAUAGGAGGCAGUAGAAGCACAUGGUACUAUAAUCUCAUGCGGUUGAAUCAUGGGCACUUCAUCAGUACAAAAACCAGGGGAUUUCUGAAGAAACGUGUCAGUCUCUAUGAAAUCAAAUGAACUCGACACCGACACGCUCUUCUCUUCUUCUUGGCUCUGCGAGCACUGCAGGAUUAUGUUCUCACUUCUCUUGUCUUCACCAGCUACGACACCUACUUGUUCUUGCUGCUGCUGCUGCCCUGUUUGGUGGUGGUGUUCAUCAGUAGAAGAGAUGGGCCUGUGAGUGAUGGGAUCAAUUCCCAUCUUCCUCAGCUUCUUCUUAAUGUGGGUGUUCCAAUGAUUCUUUAUCUCAUUGUCAGUUCUACCAGGGAGGUGAGAUGCAAUCUUAGACCAUCUGCAAGGGCAACAGGGGACCAGAAGCUUGUUCUUAUUAAUAGUUAGCAGUUGAGGGCCAACAGAACUAGAUUAGUUAAUUUGAAUAAACAGAGACAAUUAAUUAUGAACAAUAGAAAGGAAGAGGGGAGAGUGACUACUUGUUUCCAAGACGAGAAUGGAGUUCAAUGACCAAUUUCUCCUCAGACUCCGAUAGCAAGCCCCUCUUCAGAUCAGGUCUCAGGUAGUUGGUCCAUCUUAACCUGCAACUCUUUCCACACCUCAAUAAACCUACACCAAUACACCCUGACGUAUCAAGCUUCAUUCACAGUAGUCAUUAGAAAAAGCACUUGAGAAUAAUAUCCAUAUUUUCCCCCACCAACCUACAUAUUUUUCGAACAGGACUCAUUAUUCUUUGAAGGAGACUUUCACCAUUGCCAAAAGCAAAACUAAGGCAAACUUUAGAAAUAAAUUCGCUAAAACAAGCGUACUAAAAUUUAAUUUUCUUGUUUCUCAAUCAGCAGCAUGCUCUCUUCUCUCUCUCUCUCUCAUGUUUCCGAGAGGAAAAGGAGAGGAACUCAUAACCCCAUCACCUGUCCACCUUUCUGAACACCAACAUCUAUUAAGGGUUCAAAACAUGUAAGAACGUAACCUGAGAAACCCAAAACCAACUUGUCCAAGACCCAAAGCAAAAGAUUUCUCAAAAGGAAAACAUCAAAGAAAACGAAACAUAGGCUCCUCCUCAUGUCUCAGCUGUAUUUGUGAAAGCCAGAGGAAGAAAAGGGGAAGCCAAGGAAACAGAGGAGGGGGGGAAAUGGGUACCUGCUAGUUUUGGGACAGCUCUCCAACAGCAUUGGCCAUUGGUGAGGAUGAAGUCGAUCAACUUCUUGUCCUCCUCAGUUGUCCACGGCCCCUUCUUCAGCCCCACCUUAUCACAACAUGGCUGCCUUCCCAUUCUAUCCUUCAAUCAAAUCUCUACAGCCAAAACAGAGAGCGAGAGAAAAUUCCAGGCCAACUAGCCAGUUCCACGGCUACCAACCUUUAUAAGUUGCACCAAGUACCCCCCGAGGGCAUUGGCUAGAACCAGGAGAGCUCUUGUUUACACCAAGAUUCAUGCACACGUGUCAGAGAGCGGGGACUGGGGAGGUGGACGGCGUCACACGUGUGAAGUCGGUCUCUGACAGCGCCACCUCAUCUGCUGCCUUUGCUUGCUUUUCAAGCCAGGACCCAAAAAGUCCACGUAAAGUUUUCUUCGAAGGUGAAGUGGGAAUUUUGAUGGUAGAAAGCUGAGGGGAUCAUUUCUUUUUUACUCUCUGCUCUUCACCUCCUUUCAUUGAAUUCAUAUGAUAACUUUGUGAAUUACAUAUUUAUGAAGCUACGAAUUUAGUCGAGUCACUGAAGCAUCUCCAUUUGUGUGAUACAAGUGCUGGUGAUACUAAUCUAAAGAAUAAUUAUAGUAGUACAAAAAAAAGAAGCUAAUUUAUAUUAUCUUGCUUGACUUCAAAGUACAGUAUGAAUAGCAUUUUGCGUCACUCCGAUUAACUCAGCAAUAUUCUUUCAUAUUUGGAAUUUAGUAGACAAACGGUUCAGCUCAUGUGAAUCACUUCUACAAUAAGAUGGUAAUAUUAUGAAGUUUCUAAUGGUCGUAUCACUGUUUAUUGCGGCUGCGACAACAAUUGUUCACCCUGUAUCUUGGUGCGGUUAAUACUACUAACUAAUAGUCCCAGAAACUACUACUUGUUAAAUCAUAUGCAAUCUAGGUAUGUCAAUGUUUCUUAGAAACAUUCAAGGACAAUUUCCUAAACGUAGUUUCCUUCACUUUCUUGGACCACAUUUUUAAUCCUCUUUUUCAUAAUAUCCAAUCCAUAAUAAGCAUGAUAUUUUCUACACUUUAUUACAAACUUUCAAGGACAACAAUCCCCUAAAUAUACGUUCCAUCACUUUCUUGGACCAUAUUUUUUUCCCCUCUCAUUCAUAUUAUUCAGUUCUUCCAUGGAACCAUAAUAAAAAUGACGUUUACACAUUAUUGAAGUCGUGACAUUACACUUUAUUACAAACUUUGAACCAUAAAGAUAUGUCAUGUCCAUAUGUUAGAACUUAAAACUCGGGCAAUCCCAGAACUUGCGUCUGUUGUUGAGAGUAAAUAACCCAAAUAACUCCCAUAUAUUGAAACUAAUUUUGACAAUCUUUUGGAUGUAGGACCUUUUGUUUUCAUGGAUACGGUAUUUGGACCUACUCUAAAUUUUACAAGUCACAUGCACGCUAGACAAAUAUAUUUAUUAGUAAGAAUUAUAAAAUGGCAAAGCGACGUGCGUACUCAUCCUCCAGCUCUCUUUAUUCAAAGAUAAAGGAAAGAACUACUUUGACCGGCCAAGUCUCCAUGGACAUCAAUGUUUCUGAAAGAAUCAUGGAGUUUUUAUCACAGUCUUGGUUCUUCUUGCCUAAAGGCUCAACAAUGACUUGCAGAUGCUAACCAAUAGUCUCAGAAACUACUAUUUAAUAAAUCAUAUACGACCUAGGUAUAUUAAUGUUUCUUAGAAACUUUCGAGGAUGACAAUUUCCUAAAUAUACUUUCCAUCACUUUCUUGGACCACAUUUUUUAUCCUCCAUUUCAUAAUAUCCCAUUCUUUCAUGGAAAUAUAAUAAAAAUGAUAUAUACGCUUUAUUACAAAUUUUCGAGGACAGCAGUUCCCUUAAUAUACUUUCCAUCACUUUCUUGGACCACUUUUUUUUCCCCCCUCUCAUUCAUAGUAUCCAAUUCUUUCAUGGAAACAUAAUCAAAACGACAUUUGCACAUUAUUGAAGUCAUGACAAUUACACAUUAUUACAAACUUUGAACCAUAAAGAUAUGUCAGGUCUAUACGUUAUACAUUAGAACUUAAAAUCGGGGCGAUCCCUGAACCUUUGUUUGUUGAGAGUAAAUAACCCAAAUAACACCUGUAUAUUAAAACUAAUUUCGAUAAUCUUUUGGACGAAGGACCUUAGUUUUCAUGGAUAUGAUAUUUGGACCUACUCUAAAUUUUACAAAACACAUGCAUACCAGACAAAUAUAUUUAUUAGUAAGAAUUAUAUAAAAUGGCAAAGCAAUAUGCACUCAUCCUCCAGCUUUCUUUCUUCAAAGGUGGAGCAAAGAACUACUUUGACUGGCAAAGUUUCCAUGGACAUCAAUGUUUCCGAAAGAAUCAUGGACAUUUUGAUUACUACCUUGGGUUCUUCUUGCCUAAAGACUCACCAAUGACUUGUAGAUGCAUGCUUGGUGGACCAGGCUUGGGCUUAUCCGUCAACCUACCAGCCUUUUGAAUAAUAAGGGAUGAUGCAUUGAAUAUUCUUUAGCACGAUAUCCAUUAAUUAUCAUGUUUUUAAUCAAUUACCAUGUGGGAUGCUGAAAUGCCUCCUUGGAUCCUGUCUGGUCAAGCAUGGUUAUAUUGGAUCGUGCGUUUUGGUUGAACCCAUUCCAAAUGGAAAUGGGUCAGCUUGGUUAGGUCGAGAUCCAUGGAUUUAUGCUUCUGAGCAGGUGUAAUCAAGUCUAGCUUGUUAGUGGUUGAUCUACUGCAUCUUGAAAUUGCAAUAUUAUUUUUUUUUAAAAAAUAAAUCUAGCAUUUGAAUCAUGGGCCACUUCCAAGGAUAAGUCCUCACCGGAGAGGUGACAACUAAGCUAAUAAUAUAAUUUUUCUUGAAUUUUAAAUACUUACUGGUUUGGAUAUGAUUAUAAUUAUUUAUUUUUCAUAAGAAAAUGGGGGUCAAGCUCACCUAGGGUUGUAUUUAAUUUUUCAGAGGCCAUAUCUCAUCCAAAAGGAUAAGGGGUCAGAACUCUUGUUUUGAAUUUCAUCCACAAGGUAGGAUAAGUGGGUCAUCAGCUCAUUUCAUUUUUAGACAGGUUUGGAAUGAUUUAAUCAAUUUGAAAGCUGGUCCAAACAAAAAAAAAACAAACUAACAAGACUAAACUUAUAUGUCAGAAUGAGGUGACAAAUUUGGAAUCUCUUCACGACUAAAAUGUGGUAUAAACCGCCUUUGUAUUAUCUUCCGGUCCCAAUUUUAUUUUCUUGGAAGAAUUAUAAAUAGUCAAACAUUCUUAUUUUAAAUUUGCACUAUGAAAAAUGCCACAUAAAAAGGCAAAGUGAAAAAUAAAAGCUAUCAUGUAUAUAUAUACAUGCGUGUGUGAUUUUAAUUUGCUAUGAGUGGUAUCUAGCUUUGUGUAAAUAUGAAACUAUCAAUUAAGAAAGUGGUGAUUUUAGCUCAGAUUUAACUCAAAUUUAGGUGGUAGAUCUUGGCAACAUACUUUUCAAUUUUAAGAACUUGGGUUAUUUAUUUCACUUCUCAUUUACCUAGAUGUAGCAUACCUACUUGGGGAGACUUUACAGUUGCUUUGUUGAAAUCUAUCUCAUAAAUGAUAACAUUGAUAUAUGGUAAUCUCAGGCAUCGUCGGAAAGACUAUGCAAUUCCAUUAUUUUUAGAAUAAAGGAAGUUUUGCCUGGGCCAAGUUCCAUGGUUUUGAUCAUCUACAUUAACGGGGUGUUUGGUUCAUAUAUAACGGGAAAUGGAAUCGGAAUCAAAAUAGUUAAAUUUUUUGAAGCGUUUAGUUCGUGACUGGAAUUAGAAUGAAAAUUUGAAUACUUAAAAAAGAGUAAAAAUUGAGUUUUAGGUGGAUUGAAUCAUUUCCAUGCCAUCUUAGAAUCAGAAUCAUAAAGGAACUCCUCACGAUCAAAUAGUUAGAAUGGGAGUCACCUAUUCUCAUUUCAAUUCUAGAGUCCAACUCUCUCCAACCAAACAGUCCAACUCUCUCCAACUAAACACCCUCUAAAUUAUUUCUACAUAAAAAAUUUACGCUUCUUUUCUGUGAGUUGUUGAAUUAUUUUUCAUAUUGGCUAUUAGUGGUGUUAGUACUUGGUUAUUAUGAUUUUGGCCGUCUAUUUAAUUUAUGCAAAGAGGGAAAAUUCUUAUUUUCUCUGUACGUUGAUUGUUUCCAACUAUUUUUUCCCAUCAAGGAGGAGAGGAGUUGGAAUCCCCUUGAAAUGUCAUUAAAUAGCCUCUCAAAUCUAUACAUCCUCACAUGGUGAGAAUGGCAAUGGCAUUCCACUGGAAAGAUAAAGACAGACAAAGUGAGAAACAAUAGAGUUGAUUCUCUCCUCUCAAGAGGGAUUCAACGAAACUAGAAACGGAGAAACCUAGUGUAUUUCACUCAUAAAAACUGAAAAGCCAGGUUCCAUUUAUAAUGCAGCUUGGCAGCAGCUCAAGGACCAUACAUACUCCUUUUCAGGUCUAGUAUCCUUCUCCCAGGAGGUGGCUGCCCUAACUAAAUAUUGGAACAAACAAGAGCCUACAAAAACCUAUAUAGCCCCAUCAAUAACUAUAUAUCCUUCUCCCAAGAGGUGGCUGUCCAACUAUAUAUCUCUUACCUUCAGGAAAAAAAAAAAGAAAAGAACUAUAUCUCAUGGAAUUAGCCUUUUUUUUUUUUUCUUCCCUUUUUAGUAUGGUAUAAGGUGUAGCGUUGGCUGGUUAAUGGGAAACAUUGGAGUAUGAUCUUGUUUUAGUUUUGAUGCUACAAAAAGUGAUUAUGUCUAUAUAGAUAGUUUCAAGCCAGCAAUCUUCAAACAUCUAAAUAUUCCUAGAGCUGGCGGUAUGUUCCAUACUUCCAUCUUAGCGAAAAAUUUACAGGUCGUCUGCGGCAAACCAUAAUUUAAUCCAAUAAAAGUAAUCAAGAUGAGAACAGCGGCAGUACAUUGUGUAAUCGAUGUCUAUACACUACUAAACAUAAAUAUUCAAAAAAAAAAAAAGAAAGAUAAUUAAAACAUAGCCUAUGCUAAGUAUCCCUGAUACCAAUUAUUUUAGUAAUCCAUUUGUUAUUAUCAUAUGACCCUUUCAUUUGUAGGUCAAAUUCCUAUCCAGUAUAAGUCAUCUUUAUAUUAAAUUUUAAUCUUUUUCGUUCAAUCAAAUAAAAUCACACACGCGUAUGCAUAUACACACACAUACACAUAUUGAAUUGAUAUUUCUAUUUGUUUGCAAUACUACCGUGAGCUAUCAGAUAACAAGUACUGAAGAUCUGUAGUGCUCCUCCAUAUGAUGAAUCCCAACUAGGAUACCUUUUUGUUUACUGAAUCUGUUGCGGCCAAUCUCCUCGUCGUCUGAUCGCCGAAAACGAGCGCCUGCAAAAGAAGUCUGCACUAACCGGAGAUGACUCCAGCAGAGACCCUCCGACGAUCAAGUCAGAGAAGAAACUAGGCAACAGUAGACAAGAAUCAAGAAACUCAACGAGAGAGAGCGAGAGCUAGGGAGGAGGAGGGAUUCAAGGGGUUCGAAAAGAUCUCCUAGCACAGUUGCCUUCCCCGAUAUAUAUAGUGGAGCGCGAUAUGGCGCCGUCAUUAAUGACGCAGACAAUGGAAGAAUUGUCAAAUCGUCGAGGACUGUCAGAGCCACCGUGAGGUUGUCAAAUCGCCGUGGGACUGUCAAAUCACUAGGGUUGACCCAUGCCUUAAGUGGGAUAAUGUCCCAAGGCGGCUGUGCCGCAUGCCGGUGUCAGGACUGGCAGCCUCCAGCAGUCGUACGGUGUUUGGAGGAGCCGACCGACUAUAGGUCGACGGCUGGUUGAGGGGCAUCGAGCGGAAGCCCGGGAACCCUCCGGCAAUCAGUCGGGCGCGUUGUGGGAGUCGGGCAUCGGGCUCCAUAGUUCGACUGAUCGAGAGCGAAGAAGAUCUGCCCGACCGACGUAUACUCGGUCGGUCGGCGACGGCAGCCGUCGGUCGACAGAGUCGGACGCUGGUCAUGUAGACCUGACGAUGAGUCGACGUGAGUGGGAUCGAUCGGUAUACCCCAACAGGGUCAACGUUAACAAUAGCUCCGAGCAUGCAUCAUACGAUGGGUCUGACAAGUUUUUUUUUUUUUUUUUUUGGUUUCGCCCUCUUCCCCUAAACUAAUAUGUACAGAAGAUUGCAAGAUUCGAAGGAAAAUGCGGUGGUGAAUUGACCACUCACGUACUUUCAAGAUUGUCAACAGCUUGAAGCUGUAUUAUUUUGCCUUUUUAGCUUAAUAAGUCUACUUAAUAAAGAUACUUAUUAAAUAUGCGGAAAAAAUGAAAGGAUCUGAGAUCAAAGGACCAUUUUAAUAACAUAUCUAUGAAUACUUGAAGAACUGAGUGUGAGCAGACUCCUGAAGCGAUCAGAGCCGGACGAAGUGGUACUCGGUAACAUCGAAGUGGUAAUGAGAAGCACAUGCGUGGCUAAGAUGGGAAAGUUGAGCAACGAGUACACCGACGGAAGAGUGAGACAACCGGUAACAAGAAUCAUGCAACAAAGCGUUAGGAACUAGAAGCUCUGCUGAAACCACCACGCCCAGUUCAGAACGAGAGAGAGAGACUUUUGAAUCUCUGAGGUUGUAAGAGCACGGACUCCAGAGAUGCGAUAUUAGAUCAGUGCUAAUCGCACCUCCCAUAAAGUUUAACAUCUGCUCACAAUUAAAAUAAGAAUUAGAAGUUCAUGUACAUUUCACUGUUUUUGGAAUUCUCACAUGUCCAAUAGUUAACCUAGUCAUUUGGAUAAUUUCGGCCCCAACGUGGUGCGGCGUACCAAUGGGCUCUAAGUUGCUUCUCUCACAGGCCAGACGAUGUUCUCGCAUGCACUGUCAUCAAAAAUUAAAAUGCACGUCCAGGAUGGGUCAAAGUAAAAAAACCGGUUCACUCCUGGGGUUGGAGUUUCCAAGGAAAGCAAAUUGAAAAUUAAUGCAAUUUCUUUUUCGUAAAGCAAAACAAGGAGAGAGAACUUCAAAAAACUGGGCUCCCAACAGAAUAUUAAUGAAAUAGGCAUCGCAAGGGGAGAUAAAUUUGUUCUUUUCUAUUGACUUACAGUCCAUCUACUCCAGUCCCAUGCUUAAAGAUUUAAAUCUUAGUUUAGAAUAAAGGAUCAUCUACUCCAGCCACUACUUAAACCUUGCUUUUUACACAUUUUCACAUGUUUCUCUUGACAUAUUUUGUUUACUCAAUGAAGUAUGUUUCUCGUUUCCUGCAUUGUCUUUUGCUGACCACUGUUUCCUGUCUCUCCUUCACAUUGUUUCCCACAUCAAUUUCCCCAGUAAUUUGUGCACAUUCAUGUCUUGGAGUUACCUAGCAACGGAUAAUUGUUGAACCCCCAGUUCUCAAGCUGCAGAUCAUUUGAUCCAUCAAAACCACUGUAUCAUGCACUACAUGCAUGCACAGGUUGAGUUUUGAUAUAACAAGAAGUAAAAAAUAAGAAAAUGAUACAUUUGAUCAUGUACACUUCAAGCAUGUCAUAACCAUAACCAUACAUUAAGUUAAUACUCUAAGCUAUCUAAUAAAUUAGAUCUGAGGGUCAGAAGAGAACAUAUACUUACAACAUCCUUAUUAUCACCAUACACUGCUGCUGAAGGUGCGAUGCUCAGCAACCAUCUACAAAUAACUGGAACUGGUGGAGCUGAAUCAGUUAAUCAACUUGAUUUCUUGAUUACGGUUCUCCAUGAAUUGUGCAACCUUCUUAGGAAGAUUGGUCAGUACAGUGCGCCCACCAUCAUGGCCAAUCAUUAACAACCUCCCAAUCUUGGCCCUCCAUUCUGAGCUAUACCUCUCAUUUUUCUUGUCAUGAACCACCCUGUCACAGUAGUUGAGCAUUGUCCCAAGGCCAGUAUUUGGUGUCCAACCAUAUUCCUCCAAAACACAGGCCUCUCCCUCUGUUAAAUCUUCUCCAACCUUUUACCAAAAUAGAUAUGUGGUUUUACAAUGCAAAGAUUUAACAAAAUUAAAUAAAUAAUCUGUUAGUAGUAAAGCAAAAAUAGAUGGUUCUUCAUUAACAUGCACUGAUAAUGGUAAAGCAACUCAUCAAUAAAAUCCCAAGACAAAUGCAAAUAAUGUGGUAGAAAAGAAAAUCAUUAUGCAAAAUGGUUUGCAAACCGACUAUCACCACACAUAAAUGCAAUGCAGAAAAUGUAAAAUUGCCAGUUGAGUAGUAAUUUUCAUCACCAUUUCUCUAAUUUAUAAUUAUACUAUCCACGAAACUUACUCUAAAUAAUGCUCAACAUAUGCUAGACUAUGUUAAUAUUCAAGACUCAGAUUCAAUUCAGAGAAGCAUAUUUUGCCUAACUAAUCAUCUAUGACACCAUGGGAUGGGCAAAUUUCGGUAAAUAGUAAGUUCAAUUAUAUUUUUUUUUAAUUCAUGAAAGCCUUAAAAAAUUGCUUAUGAACAAUCAUAAUGAAGCAGUAGAAGGCUAAUUUCGAUUAAUACGCAAGCUCAACUAUCUAUACAAAUUGAAACGUUUAUAAACUCACCAUGAAACAGGUACUAGGACUUUCUUGGAACAGCCAAUGCUUAAUGUCAACUACAUGUACUAGAUUGCAACAUUUGUAAAUUCACCAUGAAACAAGUAAUAGAACUUGAAAACAGAAAAUAAUUUCUAGACUCAAUGCUUAUAACAGCAUUUUUAUGUAUGUAUUUUAAAACAUGAGCAUUUAAGAUAGUAAAACUAUUAUCUAUGAAUUUAUAAGAAAAGUUGCUUCACCACUCGAAAGAUAUUUUAACAAGAAUGAAACUCAUAUUCAACAUGAAUUCUCAAAGAAAUUCACUACUCAAAAGUGCGAGUCAAAAUUCUUAUCCGGAUUAAGAUAAGCCACUAAUGGCUCAAAAAUUCUUAUAAGAAGCAAGAAGUUCAAGAAAAUUAGCCUGAAGAGCCAGAACUAUUCAAUUUGAGCUUUCUGUUCAGUAUGAUUAUUUUUUCCCCUAGAAGAGCAACAAUCAGCAAUUGUCUGUUGUAAUGGUGACCCUUGCCUGAGAGUACGAAUGAGCGAAUGUUAUAUAGAAACAUUAUUUACAUGGACCACUCUACCCUCUCAUGAGUCAUUAUAUUUCACAGAAAAUAAUGACGACUCAACAUAACUUCAACUUUCCACAUACACUAGAAAGCCAUUGAGUAACUCAUGCUUAGCUGGAUUUGGCCUGCUUAAUUUGUAAAUGAGCCUGAUCUAGAGCUGGAACAAAACAUCCAAGCUCAGCUCAAUUAAUCUUGCAAUAUGAAAAAUAAAUAAUCAUACACAUCAAUAUAUUAUUUCAGCUAUUAUAAUAUGAAGAAAAAGAUAAUAUCAAAUCAUCAAAAAUUAACAUGAUUUAUGCAAAAGGAACGAAUUCUAAUUAUUCAAUUGAGACAGCCUUGAGGAACCUCAGGCAUUGACCAAAUCUCUUGAACAAGCUAUUCAUGAAAGUACGGCCCAAAACUAAAUGACUGGCUCAAGAGCCUGGCUUAGCAAAGCUAUGCUGUUCAGCCUAAAGCUCAAUGACCUGGCUCAAGUGCAUAGCUUGGCCGAGCUUUGCUCGUUUACACUCCUAAUUCUGGGCAUGUUUCAAGGACUGCUAUCAAUAAUUCAACAGCUAACUUGGCCACCGAUUUGACUCAACAUAAAGAAAGGGGCUAUUACGUGACAAAAUUAUAGAGAACAUGACCCUGGGAAGGAUUUAAGUUUUUUACAUUUCUCUAAUUUUCAUUGAUGUUGGUAGCACAAUUCUCAUGCAAAUGGACAAUUUUCUCUUGAUUUAGAACAAAUGGAGGUUCCAUGAUGCUCAUCUUCUUGUAUGCAUAUCUUGUUUCCUGGCAUGCAUGCAAUAACCAAAAUUUAGGUGCAUGAACAAAAUUCAAGAAUGCAGAUGGCUCCACCACUUUAGUUCAUGACAAUAAGGUUAGGAAGGUCCAAUAUAAACUGAUUGGGAUAAUGGAACUGGUGCAUUAGUGUGUACCAAAUUUGAGUAACUUAGCCUGCUGAACUCUUGGGUAAGACUUGCCACUAACCAGCACAUAUGGAUCUGUUUCCUGAGACUGACAUUUUGGGUACAGGGACAACAUUUCCAUGUUUACAUUCUGGCCUUUAAAAUAUAUAAAGAUCGUGAAAUGACUUACAAAACCUUCAGUACUAACUGAAAAUGCAAGAUGACACUAAGGUAUAAAUACUUGUUGGCCGUCUUUUCUUUGAUUUGCAAGGAACCUAGUUUUUGUUUUUGUUUUUAAUACUGAUAAUGAGACUCCCAUGUUAGACUAGCUUCAACAAACUACCAUGCACCUACAGACCUACCCAACUCUCAAAGACUUCAUGGCAUUACAUGGAUCUAUCUUAUGACCUGUUGACAUCAUGUAAGUUGCACUUACUAGGCUAUAGAGCCAUACUCAGAAAGCAGGAUGAUUAACCCAUCAAGAUUUCUCCUAAAAAUAUAACGCAGGUUUACUACCUAUAGCUCAGUUGUUCAGUCUUAUCUACUUUUAUAGGAGUCUCUAAAUCAACAUGUCCCAAGACAUUUGGAGAAUUGUUAUGUCACGAAGAAGCAUUGCCGCAUUACUGAAAAUGCUCAUGAUGUAUUCAUCUGUACUUCCACAUUACAAGAUUCGAUAAAAAUAUCACUGUCUUUUGUAUCCAAUAAAAAUUUCUGUUCUUUUCCACUUGCAGCACUGUAUUUAAAGGACACUUGCUUUGCUCUUCCUCCUUGGCAAACUCAUAAAACUAUAUUUUAAUGAAGCAAUGCCCAUAUGUCGUAAAUAUACCUCUAAGUUACAAUCCUCAACAUAGUAGCUGUAUAGUUUAAUGCAUGUCAUAGUCAAGGGCACAAACUUAUAUUUCCACUUUUCUUUAGGAUAUCUCCACUAUGUUUUUUGUAAUCUCAAGCAUUAAUCAUAUAUCCCUAUGAAGUUUUUUUCUCAACUUCCUCUGACAUUAUUGACCUUUCGCUUAAGCCUUCCUCCGUUGGCUUUUGGGUGACCUCAUCCUAUAAGAGGCCUUCAUCAAUCAUGUAUGUGCUCAUAAUUCCCAAAAGUUUCCGAAAUACUAAUAAGGUCCGUUAAAGAAAUUCUUUUAGUGAUGUCCUGUCCAUUCCAUUCCCCAGCAACUUACCAUCCCUGUCUGGAUGAUGCUCUCACAAGCCUACCAUGUCGUUAUUCCAGGCAGAGCUACGACCCAGCAAUGGAUUUGAUUCAGGCACUGAUCAUUCAUACUCUUUAGUUUGUCCCUUUCACCAUGUCAAGCUAUUCAGAAAUGCAGCCAUUUGACAUCUACAAUGACAGAAUAUCAUUGAUCAAGACCACCACAAACUUAUAAUGGGACCUUGUUCCUCUUCAUGUAAACAAGAUCCCUAUUGGUUGCUAGUAGGUCUACAAUCUCGACAGUUUACUCAGAAGCAUUGAUCAACUAGGACAAAAACAUUGCUCUUUGUUAAAGAUGACCAUUCUUUUUUUUACUUGAUUACCCUUAAUGUUAUUUUCUGUAAGCAUUGAUCAAUUAGGACAAAAACUUAACCCUUUUGAUGGAAGAUGACCAUUCCUUUUUACUUGAUCACACUUGAUAUUGUUUUUAGUUAGCUUCCAUAUUAAAUCAAGAAAAAAUGAGAAUGCCGUCACAGGGCCUUUCACAUUCUCCUUGGGCAUGAUUAUGGCACUUCAUCCAUUGAUCCUUGGGAACUAGCAACAUGUAAGCUCUGGGAACUAGAACGUGGGCUAAAACAGGCUCCUUGGGCACGAUUGUAGCACUUCAACAGUUCAACCAUUCAUCCUUGAUGCAUGCCUUACCAAGAUAAAAUGAACACAAGAUUACAAUAAAAAAUAUUAUCACACGAUUCAUCCCCUUUUCUAAAUUAAUAACCAGAAGAUGCUAUUACCACCACUACUCAUAGUUGGAUGGCGCAUAAUUUUGAUACAUAUUUAUUUGGUAUUCAUCAGCCUUUUAUGGUCCAACCUAGACACCAAAUUUAAUAUCCACAUAAUAAUGACUAACAACAAUGGUAUUUAGAUCCUGUAAAACAUAUCAACCAAUUUUUGGAACAUAAAGGCUCCUGGCUAUGGUAGAUGUACUUUGUGAAACAGAAAGAUUCUUGAUUCUAGAGAUUUGACUCAACAAAUCCAUGUACUCAAUAAAAAGUAUUAGGAUAAAUAAAAGGACGGUUAUCUUAAAUCCUACUUAUAAAUAUUACAGAAAUAUGUCUGCAUAAGCAAUAUUUUUUUCCCUUUUCUGCCUAACUUGACUUUAAGUUAAAAUAACUUAAAAUGCAGUUCAAAGAAAAAGAAAAAAACAGAGAAUCAUUUUUUUUCACAAAAAAAAAAAGAUGAUAUAUCAACAAUUGCAAAGGAGAAGAAUGUCAAUUAAUUUUUACAUAUGUCUUUGGAAAAUUACGAGUAUGCAAUAAUGCAAGUGCAGCCCCUUCCACAAUGUCGCAAUGACAAAGAAUUACAAAACAGAAUAUGAAAGUCUCACCAACAAUGGUUUGUUCUCGAUUAGAGUGGUCCUGCUACAGCUGGUGAGCUUCAUGGCUGUCACUAACCUCUUGAUUUGCCAGGGAAUGGGCAAAGAGUCCACAAGCUCAAAGAAAUAAGUCGCGUACCCAUAUUCUGGACGUUCUAAGACUAUUCUGUAUCAAAGUUAAUUCCAUGAGUCAUAUUGUGAUUCACUCAACUAACUAGUGAAUUGGAAUUCUCUUUAGAGGAGACACCCCAAGGAACAAAGGUUACCUGUUAUGCCUCUUAAAGACAAAAAUAAAUGACUGCAGGUCCCUACACCAUCCCCAUUCAACAGAGCUGUUACGAAAAUGGAGAUAUCGAGUCUACAAAAUGUGAAAGCACAAGUACCAAUAAUAAAUAUGGUAAGAAUAUUAGUUUAGCACACCACAAUUAGGUAAAAUUUUAUGGGGCUUUUUACAUACAUAUCCUUGCAAAUAUGACAUUCAAUAUUGAUCUUCUGAAAUCACUAUUUGCAUAGACACCCCUCAAAUCAUCUAGUUUUUGCAAUGACACCUGUCCCUUGAGAUUUUUGACUAACAGUGCUAAAAGAAUAACCGCUUUAAGUGUAACAAAAGACUAUUACAUAUUACGCUUUUGCCUUAAUAUAGCUGACAAAAAUCAACAUUUAAUUUAUAUUGUAAAGAGAUAAGGGCAUUAAUCCAAAAUGGUAAUAAAGUCAUUUCACACAUAAAACAGUUAUUAUUAGAAUCAGCAUACCUGUAAAAACAAGAAGAUUUGCGUGGUAUACAUGCAAACAGUGAUUUUUGAAAGGUAAAUAUCCAACAAGCCAUAUUUGCAAGGGGAUAUAUGCCAACAAAAAAAAAAAAUCCAACUUUUUAAAACCCAAAGGUGUCAUAGAAAUUACCAACCUGUUCAAUAAGGGAAAUUAAGCAGGCCAAACAGUAAACAGCCUUUGACCCCUUAAUAUGCCGUGCAGUAGAAAGUUUGAUUAGAGAUGCUCGCUCGGAAAAUAACUGAGACACAAAGGGGAAGAGAACUCAAAACAUAUUGAGUACAAGCUACAAGAAUAAAUAGAACUUUGCAACUUUGGCAUUUAACUCAUGCCCCCUUAUCUUGAAGAUGUUGCAUUUGCAUCAUAAUCACAUUAAGUAAAAUUUUGCAUGUGCGAUAUCAUCUAACAGAGCAACAAAAAGCGAGUAAAACUAAGCAAAAUGCAACAGCAAGCAUAAGCCAGUCUUCCAUAUAAGAGUACAAUGCGAACAGAGAAGAAAGAAUUAGAAUUUACUGAAAAAAAUUUGUAACUUGAUUCAGUCCAGGGCCUAAAGAUUGUUAGAAUGCACUUGUUUUCAUCCAAGGCAGAAAUUAGUUCAGAUCUAAUAAUCAAUUUAACCGCAAUAACUGGGAUCAAACAACAACUGGAAGGAGCACAGUAGCUGAUAUCUUCCAGCAAGAUUGCAUCCCUCACUCCCAAACUACCUUCCAAUUUAGAUCAGUAUGGGAAGAAUCUUGGUUUCUGGAAUCUGAAGUGGGUGACCGAGCAGGUGCAGGUGCAACUGUGGUGAACCGAAUAUUUAAAGAACACUUGAAAGUCACCAAAGGCAUAGAAAGCUACUUAGGAAGUGGGUACAUGUUUGAGUUUUUGGGGAGUUCCCAAAGUAGAUAUGUUAUCCUAGAUAGAAGUUUCUUGUCAAUAAGGGAAGAAAAGACCCUGAUUGAAACAUAAGGUCAUAACAAGGUCAUUAGGUACGAAAUGAAAUGUAUUCUUUUUGAAUGGAGCUAAUAUAUGGGUGCCCAUGCAACAUCCUGAAUAAGGUCAGUCCUGAUAGGAUGACCAGGUCCAACACCAAUGACUUAAGCUGUUGGACAUGAUCUACUAUCUCUAAAAUGCUCAUUAUCAAAAAGUCAUGUAAUUUGGAGAUCCCUAGUCUAUGUGUCCAAUGGUCACAAAUAGACAAUUUAAAUAAUAUGAAAGAAUACAUGGUUUUGAGCCACUGGAUGCAUGGGCUAACGAUCUCUAAAUCAUAUAAUUUUUUACCAAUAAACAAUUUAGAGAUAGUAGAGUAUGGCUCAAAUCAUUGGUGUCAGGCCCCCUAUCAUUGAUCAUGAGUAAACUUGUCAAUGCUCCAAGAUCUUUCCACCUAAUAUUUGUUAAGAUUCAUACUAAAAUAGAAGGAUCGACCUUUCAUUAAUAAUAAAUAUGGAGAUUCAUAUGCCAACAACCACUAGUCGGCCUGAAAGAGAGCCUGAAAAUGGCUGGAUUUAUUCUAUAUGCAGAGGAGCGUACGUAUGGGUUAGGUUGACCAUGCUCAGUAUGUGGCUGUUUGACUUUAAAGCAUUGUGAUAGUACACAAUCCUCCACCUCACCACAAGAGGAACUCAUCCUCGAGUUUUGAAAAAUAUAAGAUCAAAAGAAGAUUGAAUUGCUGAGUUGUACUUUGAUACAAAACCAUCUACCGUGCUCAACACUGAACCGUAGAUUGUUAGUGACGUCACGAGAUCUGUUCAAUGAGAUUUGAGCCAAUGUUUUUAAAAUCAGAUCUAUCUUCAAACAAGGUGCAGUCUAUAAAGAACAGACACGGUUAUGGAAUACUGAUACAACAUGAUACAUGUACAUGCAAAUCUUGAAAAAGAAGGAAUGAUAUGACUAGAACACAUCAAAUGAAUAUAUAUGUAUUUAUACAUUUAUACACACCUACAUACAUACAUAAUCUGCAUAUUUAUGUAAAAAAGUACCCAUGAGGUAUAGUAGGCUAUCAAAAUAUCACUGUCCGUCCGUAUUUUACAUGAGGGCAUUAACUUUGACAAGCUCAUCAUUAUCAUUCAAAUGGCGACUCCAAUUUACAUUUCAUAUUAAAUAUUAAUAUUACAUACUACAAAAUUGACUUUCAUCAUUAAAAAUUUAAAAGGUUAACAUAAAAAAACACAGAAAGAAAGCCAUGCCCUCCCCCUCAUUUUUGGAGGCAUCGAGAAAGUAUCUCAAGUGUAUUCAAAAAGUAUCUGAAUUUUUUUAUUUUAAAGAUAGGAUAUUUUGAACAAGUAUUGGACACAAAUCUGAGAAGUAUCUGAUUUGCAUUGGUAUCAAAAAUGGAAGCGACAAAUGAUUCAAAAUAUUUGGCUUUCCAGGAUGCAGCAGUGUUCGGUCUAAAAACAGCCAAGUCCAUAAAAAGUCUGCCCCUUUUAAGAUAUCUCUAACCCAAAAAGGUCAAUCUCGUUCCAAGUCCUGGCCAACUUUCUGCAAAAAAUAGUUGGCAUUCGAGUCUUAUUACAAAGUGAGACAAAGGAUGGUCAAAAUCGGCACCUAAAGGCCGAAUGGCCUAGGUAGUGGCCACUUGUGCGAGUUUAUAUAAUUUAAUUUUUACUCCUGCUUUUUUAAUUACACUUUUUUAACUAAUUUUGGCUGCUUCUAACUUAAGAAAACAAUAUGGGAAUGAAAAUAGCCUAUAUUAACUUUCCUAAUAGACAACCCUCAUCUCCCUCAAUCCAUCCAGCUCCUCUCUCUUACAAUGCACACUAGGCAAAGAAUUGCCCUCCACUCUAACAGUUGGCACCCACCUAUCCAGCAGCCUUCCAGCCUCUGGCUGUGCCCCAGCAGCUCUCUGAUCACUGGUAGCCAUGCUGGCUACAUAUAACCACCUAAAGGUAAUGGUUUUUUUCCCAUUUUCUCCAUUAUCAUAUGCUUUCCUUUGUCUUCCCUUACUGUCUUUCAUGUUUGUUCUUCUUCUUUUCUUCUCCACUUUCUCUUUUGAAUGACCUUUCCCUUUCCCCCUCUCUUCUCCGCAUUUCCCUUUCUUCCUUCCUCUAUAUCUUCUCCUAAAGUCCUCUUCUUACCAUUCUCUUCUCCUAGGAUCUUGUUACCUUAUUGUUGCCUCUCAUUCUGUUCCUUUUCUUUCCCCCCUCUCUGUCCGCCGUUGCACGUUUAUAUUUGACUUGGUGCACUAGGAUGUGAUCAAUAAUACCUUGGUUUUGAUUAAUCCUGUCUCAUAUAUUAUGGUGUCUUAUUAGGCCAUUUGUAUGUAUGAUUUUCUUUCUGAAAAGAAGAAGAAGAAGAUAAGUUUAUUGAUCCUACAGUAUGCCUUUCAUAAUUUUUUGGGUCUUCUUUUAAAAAUGGAUUGCCUAAGUCACUAGCAAUCCACCUAAUCAACCAGACAACAUGGGCCUCCACAAAGUAGGGACUGCCUGACCACCUUGACAACCAUGGUAGGACCAAAGUUGGUUGUUCCCCUGCUAUAUGAUAAUUCAGCUUCCUGUUUAGGGCAACUAUCAUCUAGAAACAUCUAAUUAAUGUAGUAAAUACCAUGUCAUUAUUCUGCUGAUCAAGGGCCUGCAUGGUAUAUAUACUUGACCAUAUCAUAUGAUAGCUUGGUUCCAAUAGAAAUGAUUAAUGGCCACUGAUUUGGUUGAUCUUUGGUUUGGUGUGCUAAUCUGCGGCAGUGCACUGCACAGGGUUGUCAUGGCCCAUAGCCUGGACACCUAGAUAGCCCUGGUUAGAUGAUUGGUGCUUUCCAGGCCUUUGGGCAAGGUUGCCAUGCCUAGGUUGGUGCUUGGCUACGUAGGAGCUGCUUUUGUCUUGGACAGAAGCCUUAUUCAUUGAUUUGUUGAAGGCAUUAAAAUUUUUUCAAUGAUUCUCUCUUUAAGUAGAAAGUAUUUACUUCAAGGAAGUUGUCCAUUUAUAAUGUGUCUCUUUAGAUGCCAACCGAUACUUGAACAUGUUAUUUUCCUAAGAAGCUUUAAAUAUUUUAAUCACUUAAUGAAAAACCAUCAAGAACUGAAAUAAUUUAAUCAUAGCUUUCAUUAUUGCAUAACUUUAGUUGACAACUCUACUGUUUAUCAAAAUGAUAUUCUUCAAUAUGCUAUUUGUUAACUAUUAUAUGACUCUAUAUAUGGAAAAAAAAACAAUUUUAUUAGUUUAUUGGAUUUUUUUCACUUAGGUGUGUGCCUUGAUGUGUAGGUAGGGCCUUUAAAGGGGUCCAGGACUGCCUAGGUAAUUUGACAACCUUAAUACCAUAGUUUUUCAUUAUAACUAGAUUAGCAUGCAGUAUGCACAAGUUAAGGUAUGCUCACUAGACGUAGAUCAGAGAUUAAUCGGUAGGAGAGGACAAUAUGCUAAGAUAUGAAAGAACUGUAUCAUUCUAAUGGAUCUAAAACUAAACACCCUCAAAUAAUGUUGGUUAGUCCAGAAAGGGCGAGAAUGUAGUCAUAUAUGCAACAUGGCAUGGGUAAUUCUUCAUGGCGAGAAUAUCACUAGUGAUAAACUUGUUGUGAACUAAAACAUCUAGACUUUUCCAGAAAAAAAAGGCUAGAAAAACAACAACAACGGCAGCAGCAGAUCUUGAAUGUUUAAAGAACCCCAAAUAUGUAAUUUAAGCUUGCCCUCUACAUAUAGUGGAAAUUCCUAGUAAGACCAUAAGAUUUUGUUACAGAUGAAGCCACCCUUUACUGCAUCACAUGCUCUCACCUGAAUAAAACCCUUACUUCACUUGAAGUUAGCCAUUCAUGCACUAGAACAGAUAACCAUUGGUGUGCAGAUUUUGUUCCCUGUCAUAAAAAAUUGACUUCUUUGAUAUGAUAACUGAUUGCAUGAUGCAUGUGUUUAUUCCUUAUCUCUUAGGUUUGAGUUAUUCAUGUUCAGAUAAUUGUUCCAUAUCAAAAUACAACAGCUUUUCUGUACAACAGCAUCCGGCAAUCAUAGCAGGGGCAUAAGUUUUCCUACCCUCUCCUACAAUAGUGACCCAAGUGAAGCCAGGAUUUUACUUAAGAAAGUGCAAUCAAGAUAUAUAUACAUAUAAUGCAUGUAACAAGAAAAUAAUUGUACUCAAUAACUUUAAUAUAAAAAACAAAAAAUUGCAGUAACUAUCAUUUUUUGAGGGAAAGGGGCUUAUGAUUUUUUCAUUCAUAAAAAUCAAGAGAGUGGAUGACAUGGAAGGUUAUGGUAAUGAAGAAAGGAAUAAUGAUGUAACAACAAAUAAUUCUCACAGAUAACCCUUAGGGCCUAUUCUUUUGUAGGUAAAUAUCAUGAGAAAGUUUGUCAACUUUUCAAUUGACCAACUUAUCCAUGUUCUCACACUUUUCAAGAUGGGUAAGUUACUAUCUUAUGUAUAUCAUCUACCCAUUAAAUGAAGGAAGAUCUUACCCACCUAGCUGGUGGCUAAAUCAUUUUCCCAUAAAUCGGGAAAGUAACCUUUUUAAUUCAUUCCUAAUAUACCUUUAAACGUAUAAUAAUAUGAUAUAAUAUAAUAUUUAUAUAAUAUAAUAUAGUAUAAUAUAUUACAAUAUACUGUAAUAUAUUAUAAUAAUAUAUAACAAUAUAAUAUAAUAAUAUAACAGUAUAUUAUAUUAUAUAUUUAUAUGAUAAUAUAAUAAUAAUAUAAUAUGUUUUAUAUAUAAUAGUAUAUAUUAAUAUAAUAUAUUAUACUAUAUUAGUAUAUAGUAAUAAUAUUAUAUAAUAUAUAAUAUAUCAUACUAAUAUAAGAUAUUAAUGUAAUAUAUUAUAUUAAUAUAUAAUAUUAUGAUAUGAUAUGAUAUUAUAUAUAGUAAUAUUUAUAUAAUAAAGGAUAUUAUGGAAAAUAUGGAUAGAUCAUAAUAAUUUAUCUAGAAAAAUAGUACUAUAAAAGAAUAUGGGUAAAUUAUUUUUCUGUCUCAAUGUUGCCUGAAAAAUACUUAUCCAGAAAAAUAUAAUUUUCUUAAUAAAUCUUUUAUCUGCAAAAGAACGGGGCCUUAAUAUUAGUGCCUCAGUAAUCACAGUUAGACAUAAGGCCACGUGCUUGGAUGGGGGGCCCCUCACAGGCAUAUUUUGGGCAGGCAAUGGAGUUCCCUAAGCUGUUUGUCAGAGUAUCGAUGCAGCCAAGGUUUUAAAAACCGCAGUAUGAGCCCAUACCAGUCAGUGGUCAAUAUGAUACAUACAGCGGCACUCAGGCCAUACUGACACGCAAUUCAGCCAGCAUGAUAUUAUAAAUACAAAUCUGUAUGAGGUAUGUAAAGAGUCAAUCUGGCAGUCAAUAACAGCCAGUGCAACUAUACCAACAGUUAAUCCUUGGUUACAGCAUUGCUCAUGAAGAGAGAGUAACAAAUAUUUCCUUUUCUCUAUUCUCGAUAUAAAAUGAUAAAAUUCCUAUACACAUCCAGUUCCUUUUCUUAACUCUUUGCUAUCUAUAAUAGAGAGACACCAACACCCAAUUUUUAUAAUAAAGUUCCAGAAUAUCCUUUAAAACCAGAUAAUGUAGACUAGCAAUAAACAAGAAUGACAAAACUAAAGGAGAAUUGUAUCGAACUACACAAAAUAUAAAUAAUUCUACAACCUGGCAGCUAGGGACAGCAAACAUAACUAAAACCCUUGCAAUAGUAAAUAAAACCUGGUGGCUACCUGGAUUUCUUCCAAAAUUGUAGCCAAUCACAAGAACGUAAUCAAAGAAAUGUUCUGCAGAAGCCUGUCACGAAAUCUUUGUUAUUUGCUAUGAGGCCUGCAUUUUGCUCCACGUGAUGCACUCUUGCAACAGAAAAUCAGCCAACUAGAGAACUUGCAAUUUCAUCUCGUGCCCUCCCCCCCCACUCCCCCCACCCAGGGAAAGCCAAUCAAGUAUCACAUUUUAAAGUUGGACAUCAUUGAAAAAACAAAAAAAAGAAAAAAAAAUUGGUCCCACAAAUUUAACCUCUAGGAUUUUCACCCUUGCCAUGGCAUUUAACUCCUCACUAAGUUAUUGGGCAUUAGAUCAUCCCCAUCAUGUGGUUGACCAUAUUUCCUCAACUAAGUGACAGUUGAUGUGCCAACAUUCAGACAGUAUUUGAACCAAAUUAAGUAUCAGUUGCUUAGAAUGCUAUGUGUCAUCUGCAAGAAAAGCAUUUAGUCAUAAUUCAACCUGGAACUAAUUAUCAUAGCUACCAUGAUCCAACAUUAUUCAAGUCUACGCAAAUUCUGCACCAAAAAUGUAGAGUUUCAUAAAACCAAAAAUAAUUUUUCGCAUGCAACAGUUUCCAGGUUCCGUUAGAAAUAUAUAAAAUACAGGAUUCCUUUCUGUUGACAACUUGACAUCAUGAUAUGACAUCUAAAAAGUAGCCUAAUUGCUCAUAUUGAACUCCAGAAGAAGAAGGAUAUGCACCAUUAUAAUAGAAAUACAUUAUGCUUAAUGUUGCAUUACAAAAUUUCAGUCAUCAAUAAUACUAGCAAAUAAAUUUGUUAUGCAUGCAAAGUUGUCACCAUAUACUGGCAAUGUCUAAGACGAAUGAUUGAUUGCAGAAAUGGAUGCACGAGUUCAAUGGCAUAUUACUAAGGAAAAAGAAAACAUCAUUGUGGUAUGUAUCAAAGCAUGCACGUUGAAUGAUAAAUCAGCCACCUUAGUCAUCACAGUUUCAAGCUCUUCAAAACUGUCAUCUGUGGAAGAAACCUCUAGUGGUUCAUCAUCUUCUACAUCCCCAUAAAGUUUAAUUUCCUCAACUGUUAUUCCUUUAUCUAGUAGAACCUGCCCAAAAUCCAGUACUUCAAAAUAUGGCUGAAUGUAAAACUCAAAUCAAAUCUUAUAUUUACCUGUAGAAGUCCAGGAGCAUCUUCCUCAAGUGCAGUUUCCACUGAAUCCCUGCAUGGAUUGUUUUUCAAAUUGUAAAGAAAGUAGAUUUCUAAACAAAAUGACUGUAGAAUAUAAAGAUGAGAAGAGAAACAUGAUAGGGGAUCAACUACAGACGUUGCAGUUUUUUUCCUUCUCCUCCGAAGGGAAAAAUGACUUGAUUUGGCAUUUAUAGAGUUGAUAGAACCAUCUAUUAGAUAAUAUGGCACUGCUUGUUGAGAGCAAUUCAGAUUGUUUCCAUAAUCUAAGUUAGAAACAAUUCCUGAAAUCGGCAUCAUAGCAUGUCCUACUUUGAUGGGAUCAAUCACAUCUACAGAGAGUUCAUCGAGGGUUUCCCUCUUGACAUUGGCUCCUAAUGUAUCAGACUCUGGAAAGCUGGACAGAUGAUUCUCACACAUGCUCAAUAAGUCACUUUCCAAGGGUUCAGUCUUCACUUGAACUGAAUUUGAUAAUAUAUUACUAGCACCAGCAUGUUCUUUCUCUAGAAAAGAGACCUGACCAGAACAAUUUCUGCCAGACUCUUCAAACAAACUGUCACCACUCGACGAAAUGUUAUCAUGAUUACCGGCCUUUGCUGAAGACUGAGAAACUGUACAAGAGUUCUCUAAAGAGGUACCACUCAUAAAACCAGGAAUUUUACUGCUCUGAAGUUUUGGAGCUUCUGAAUUAAUUACAUUUUCAGGAACAGAAUUCUGGUCAGAACAUAAAUAGUUAGUUGACAUGUUUUCUUGUGAAUUAUUUCCAUUGAAUGAAGAGUUGACUUGAAAAUGAUCAUCUUUUGACAAUUGAGUAUGUGCUCUAAAAACCUCUGUUGAAUAAUUACUUAGCAACAGGCUCAAAUGAUUUUCAGCAUUUGCUUCAGGAACACUGUUGAUGCGACUUUCUUCCAAAGGUUCGACCUUUACCUCAACAGGAAAGGUUGGGAGUAUUGAAUUAUACACCUGAUUGCUAUCAUUCUGGUCUACAGGUGUCUGUCUUAAGCAUGACAUGUCAGCAUCUGGAGUACAUGGAGUGGCUGUACAAGUACUAGCUGUACAGUCCUCCUCUGGUGAAUUUUUAUCAGCACUAUGUGGCACAGCAGCAUUUAUUCCAGAAAUAUUUUUAGGAAAAUCUUCUUCCAACGGUUCAACCUUCAAUUGGACCUGUUGGGCAGAUAAUUCAGAACAAAGGGGCUGAGAGUGAUCACUCACACAUUUGUUGCUUUGAACUUGUGGUUUUACUUCAGGACGAGAUGUCUGGUAUACAGAUAUGUAGUUAUUUUCAUGAUUUUCAAGAGAGUGGCUAUCUUGCAACAAUAUGCUGAGUUGGCAGUUCAGGGAAGUUUGCAAAUAUGGAUCAAAUCCUGCAGUAGCACUGUCAGGAGAAUCGAACAUUAAAUUAUUCAUAGAUUUUGCAUCAUUACUUUCAGGAACACUGUCAGCACAACAUUCUCCAAUCGGGAGUUGUGCGCUUGGAGGAUGAAUAAAAGGACCUGAAGAAAUAUCCUGUACAACAUUUACCGAGCAGAGUUAUUAAUUAUCAAAAACCAACAAAGUUAUAUCAAGAAAUGUCAUAUAUCUUUAAUUGAAACAGAUGAACAAAAUGCAAAAUGUUUGCCAAAUGACCUUGAUGGAAAAAUUAACUAAGAUUUAGGACCUGAUGCAUAUAACAAUAAUAAUAAGCUGAAUAACAAUACUUGAACACAACAAACAAGUAAAAUAAAGCUUAUAUAGCCAGCAUUCUCAAUGUGGGAACCCAGGCAUAUGUAAUAAUUAUACAUAGAAAAUCAUGUGCCAUGCAGAAUUCAGCAAAAUAUUCUACAGAAUUAAAAUCAACCUCGAUGGAACAAGUAUCUUAUCAAAAUCCAUUUCAACUGAAAUACCAUCUUAAGUGAUUGAAUAAAACAUGGCAACUCUUCACAUGUUUUCACUUAAAAAUUUGAAGGUCUCUUUUGAAAAAGCUUUAUGUGAAAAAAAAAAUCUCAGAAAUGCUUACUGAAAAGGUUUAGGAUGGCAGAAAUUGACCAAUAAGAUGAACACAUUUCUCCCUAUCGCAAAGCUGAGAUAACAUAAUGUGUUAUAUAAGAAAUGUGAUAUUGCUCUCCUGACUGCAAACUUCAUGGAGCAGAUGGCUAUAAAGACAUGUUCUGAGCAAAAUUUAUCAAACUGCCUCAAUUUCAGCCACUCCUUGGAGUUGCUAUUAUGGUCCCAUUCUGGAAUAGGCAUUCAAGGCAUAUGUCAAGCUGCCAAUAUAUCUCGUGUUGAUUGGCAUGAAUUUAGCCUCAGAUUCCAUCUUUCAAGGGUCAACAGGAGCACAGAAAUAAAAGUUCGUCCUUUUUUCAUCUUUGAAAUUUAGUAAGCUAAAUAAAUCCAAAUGCUCCAGAAUUCUAACAGCGUGAUCCAGUUACUGUGGAUUGAGUUUGCGGGGGGUUGUGUUUGAGAGUGAUGGAUUAUGUGCAAUUCCUAAAUUCACUAUUUUUAGUUCACUGGCCUCCAUUUAUGGAGUCUAUGGGAUGUGACCAAGAGGAGCUGAAUUCAUUCUUAAUACAAGCAAUGUAGAGCUUUUUCCCUCUUUCCUUUAUUUUCUUGUGCUUCCUAUCUCCCACCACAAAUCUUUGUUUUAUGUGCAAUAAUUUGGAACUCUAACCAUUUUUCUUAGGUCAUCUACCUUCUUUAGUUCUCCCCUCUUUAUGUUAAUCUUGGAGCCACUAAUAUUUCCUCGCAAAUUCCAUUCACACAAAAUUCAAGGAAAAAAAUGUUCGUAUCUUUUUCAUGCCUAAGAAACAUAUUGCAGCUAAUUGACAAUGAAAUAAGCACUAAAUGGCACAAUUUGGUAUAAUUCAAGUCUGUCCAGUUCAUCAAUAUCUUUCAUGUCACAACAAGCAUAAAUAUUGUGCUUGUCUACCUGCAGUAGGCCAAGUAUAUCCUGUCCACAAUUUUCAGUUCCCAAAUGAUUCCUGGAUAGAAAUGGAUGAAAAAAAAAAAUCCAAAUUGGUUAGCAUACAAUAAAAAGAUAAGCAUACAAAGAUCAUUUGAAUGGACACUUACGUCAGGGUUCCAUCUUUCUCACUUCUAGAAAUAAAUCCACCAUCUUGAGCAUGUAAUACACUGUUUGGACAGGGCUUUGAUGUACAAGCACUGCAAUCUUGACACCAUCUUGAACCAUUGAGAUCACCAGAAACUGAAUAAGUGCUUGAUAACAGCAUGUUGCAACGUUCUUGCAGUGUGACAUGAUCAAGAUCCUCCUUUUCAGAUUCCCUUAUAAACACUUCCAUAUCAGUGUCCUCUAAACCCUCCUUUUGAGGAUUUGUUUGCAUAUAGUCAGAAUGCUCAACUUUUAUUCCAGUACUAUGAUCUGGCAGAUUAGAUAGUUGCAGCAGAUCAUUCCCUCCUUGUUCAACAGUAUGACCUUUGAAUCCAGAGGAAGCUAUCAGAUUUGAACUGCUUAUAUAUUCUUGAGUAUCUCCCAAGCUACUAGCAUCUGGGAGAUGCUCGCUAUUGGAAUCUGCUGCAUUAAGGGAACAAGGUCUGACUAAAUCAGAAGUCAUUGCAAUUGAAACGACAAGACCUGAAGUUUUGUUUCCUUCAGAAACCAAAUCACAGUCACCCAUGGAAAUAUCCUGCAUGAUAAACAGCUCAAGCAGCACCAUUUAGCUGAAGAAAAUAAAUGAACCUAAUGAGAGAUUUCCCAAUAAAAACAAAAUAUUGAAGAGAUCUAACAAAAAAAUGAGUAACUACUAGAAGGAUGUGCCAAUUAAUAGAGAGAGAGAGAGAUUUGUGAAAGACCAGCUGCAAGUUGACAUCGGAAAAAAUGAAAAUAGCAGCAUGUUUUACAUAGAUGUGACAAUCUGGUCAGCUUUUACAAAUUUAUUGGUGACUUACCCUAGUUAUCCACUUUCAAGUCACACCUUUGGCAAGUUGACCGAUUCCUCUACCAUGAAAACUAAUAGGUUAAUGGGAAGAGAGAGAGAGAGAGAGAGAAGAUGCAUUGAUAUUGAUAAGUUGAAGGUGACCAAAAGCUAAAAGCACAUGUCCUGAAGAAGGCAAUCAAUCAUCUGCAUGUAUUUCUUAGUGCUCCUAACAAGGCUGAAUAACUAUUGAGAUUAUCACCUUCUAUUCCAGUCUCAUUAGUUUAUGCAUCCAUUAACAGACAUUUUAACUUCUUUUGAUUUGAGAAUUUCAGAAUACAAAAAAGUAGGACCGUAAGGCACUAGUAUGUGAUGCAUUCAACAGAACCUCAAAUACAAAUGAAAGUAAACCAGUUUUCAUAAGUAUAUUUGUAGUUGGUGUACUCAUCAAACUGAGAACUGAAGAUCAAACUUGGCAAGUCGAUUGUUAAGCAAUUUUAUAUAAACAUGACAAACCAACUCCAAUUAUUUUACGUACGCUUCAUCAAAAAUAUUAUUUUACUGUGCUCGCAUGUUGUGCCACAGAUUGGGUGGUCACGAAAGAUCAAUGUUAAGGUGUAUGAAACCAUUGAGCUAAUCAAGGCCUACUGAUGGGCAGAACAUUUUAAAUCAUCGCCGUUGUGAAAUCUGAUCGUAAUCUUGGUAUCAAUAAAACUUGGUAGCCCCAGAUGCAAGCUGAAGGUGGAUAAUAGAAUCAUUUUACUCCUACCAAAGUAGCAAUAAUGCUACCUAUGAAGGGAUAACCCUAAGCAUUCUCUUUUUUUGAAUGUUAUCAACAUAAAAUGGUAAUGUUACAUAUUUUUGCUUCCCAUUUAUAUUUGCCUCUAUUCGAGGCUCCAACUUGGGUUAUCAAAAGAAUUCAUAAGCUCAGAAGCGUAAUUGAUGGAAAGAAGAGAGGCUAUGGGUGCUUUGUAUCUGGUUCAUUGGAAAAAUGUUUGCAAAUCUAAGACUCAUGGGAUCUUGUAUCAAAAAAUUUAGUAGAUCUCAUUACAUCCUUAUUAGGUAAAUACCUGUGCAGCUUCCUUCGCUCCAUGGAGAUUGGUUAGAAGGGAAGUUGACCAAGCCUUUUACAAAGAUAACAGAUCGCCUGCUAAUGGUGGGACUUCUUUGGGUGUUUCUCCUUUCUAGGUGAGAGCUCUAAAGGCUAGAGCUAGGUGUUGCCCUAAAUGCAGAAUGCAUGGAUGGGAGUAUGGCUUCUUUAUAUUCCCUUUCCUAAUAUCCAGGGUCUGGUGCUGGAUCAAGAGGCUUCAGUUACAUUUCCGACCACCUUGGGGAAGAAAAGGUGCCAUGAUCUCAUUGUAAGGACUGUGGAGGAUGAUCUUUUCUGGGGUAGUAUACCAAGCUCCUAAACCUUCUCUGGACUUGAAGAAUGUAGGAUGAUCCAACAGAUGUGGUCUACAUCAGGCAUGUCUUCAGUAAAAUCUCUUGCAAUUAAAUUUUAAAUCUUGCUGGAUUGUCUUUGGCCAAAGCCCAAAAUAUUUAAGAAUCAUCCGGCCCUUGAAAAGGUAAGAUCUUCAUUCAGUUGGCUAUUAAGAGCAAUUCUUCUGAAAGCAGACAACUUAGACAAAAGGUAUUGGCCUCACCCCACUUCUUGUGUGUCAUCUGGAUUAGCAUUGCAAUCAGGAUUUCACCUUUUCUUGAGAUAUUAAACCUCAUCUGCCAUCUAGAAUUGUUUGAUCAGCAAGACAAACAAAAAGGUGCGGGUGGCAUCUAUUAGAUCCUGCUGAAAGGUGUGAAGGGCAAAAAAAAAAGAACAUAGUUAAGUUCAGGGUGGGUUUUGGAUCUUUUGGUAACAGCAGCUUAGUGAAAAAGUUGGAAGCUCAGGAUUAGGAUUAUCUUUAGAGAGUUCAACAUUUCCCUGAUGAUUUAUAUAGAGAGGAGUCCUAUCAGUCUGAAUACACAUCAGUAAUUAAGAAGAAAUGGGGAAAAUGACCUCCAUUUUUUAGCGCUUUUUUAUAUUUGUAAAUCAAAUUUAAACAAAAGGCCAAUAUUUAUAGGAUCAGCCUAACUCACCUUCAAGUUGUUUUUCAAAAUUUUGACAUUUGCUUGAACAUCAUCAGAUAUACAAGAUCUUGUCCUCCAGGAUUCAGCUGCACAAGAGGAUUGCUCCUGAUGGAGCUUGCCACCAGCUAAGAAGCCUUCCGCAGACUGGUGAACAUCUGAUAAAACUUGGGAUUUGAUUUUUCUUUGCUUUGAAUCUUCAGUAGAACAGUUAUCAUAUUCAUCAAGCUCUCUCCAUCCAGCACCAACCCUAUUUUCAUUACAUUUGGUUUCAUGAUAUCCUGUUGUCUGCAUUUGUGAUUACAUCACAGUUAGUGAAUAGCAGAAGCAAAGUUUGCUAAGGUAAGAGUGGAAAACUGCUAGAUCAAUUUCACAUAACAGCACAAUUAAUGAUGCGUGAAAAGACCAUUAUGCACUUUGACAACUGACUUUUGUUUGUUUUUAGUUCCUUCUUCUAUGUUGAUACAAUGUUUAGAUGAAGCUUUCCCAUUUAUCCAAUUAAUCUGGAGUAUAUAAGAGUUUAAAGGCAGAGCAAUAGACACAUUAGCAGAUGCUUUCAUGGUAUUGAAACUAAAUGUUGAUUCUCUCCUGAGGAUCAGGACCUACCAAUUUGGCAACAAUUAGAGUCUCUGCUUCAGCAACAAUAGCUUUUACAGUCUCCGGAGACAAUCCUUGUGCAUUCUCAUAAAAGAUUUUAGAAACAACUAGCUCCCUCUCCUUGCCAUUUCCAGUGCCAAGAUGAUACUGAUGCAUCACCCAAUUGGAUUUCUCAGGUUUCUUGCCUUUUUUCAUGCUCGCAUAGAGAACCAUUAUCUUUUUACCACCCUGAUGACUCCCAUCAACAAUGACUGGUCUAGUCUUACCCACCUUUUGCCAAAAGAUAUCUUCAGAGUCAUCAUUGUGUACCGUCCAAUGCUUUGGAUUCUUAGUAUUAUAUAUCUUGAAUGAUCUAUGAAAGAAGUAGGAUACACUUCCGUCCUUCUUGACACCUAUUAAUUGGCAAUUUAAGCUGAAAGAAAUGCAGAAAUGAUAUAUGUUGCAGGAAUAAACCCAAAUUUUCAAGAUACUUACCAGGUAGUUUUUGGGGAUGGGUGUAACCAAAUCCAUCAUCUUUAUCAAGGGAAGUAAUAAAUUCACUGAUUAAAGGAUGAGGAUCAGCCUCCCCUUUGCCAACUUUUGCACGAAGAUGCCAAAGUAGAUCUCCAUCAGAUGGAUCAAACUUCACACCUCUGGGUAACCCUGGCCACUCCUGCAAAGGAUAAUAAUACAUUAUAGAGCUAACUUACAACCAACUGGUUUUGAGCUGCUAGUGUUAUAAUAUUACCAAUUCUAAAAAAAGUACAUCAAAAGAGCUAGCCUUCACUUCAGAAAGGGAUCUCCAACAAUUAAUUGAUCAUAAAAUACAACAGACUAUGAGGGAUAGAUGCAACAAUGUGGUGGCGCAGCAAUUUUACAAGAAGCAGUCAGUAAAACAUAAACAAGAAAAUUGACCUGAGAUAGUAAAACUUUAUCAAUCACUAAUACACCGUGACUGGCAUGGGGGAAAGGUCCCUAUGAAAAACUUGCAAGAACAUCCCACAACAUGAUUGUUGCUUAAAAGCAACCCUCUGUUGUUAUCGGAGAGGGGGAAAAAAAGUAGGGAUAUUAUAAUAAUAUUGUAAUAUCUUGAAUCUUUCUCCUUUUUUAAUUGAAAUUACAUGCAGUAAAUAACAGGCAAUCCCUGCUUAUCUUUUAGCAACCUUGAGUUGCUCCAAUUUUAUCAAGUGAAUCCAAAAUUUGAGAUUACAGAUCAACAAGACAAACUUGACACUAUUCCAUACAAAUUGCUAAAAGCAUAAUUGAAGCCAAUAAAGAUGCAUUUCAUCUACCAGUCAUGGUAAAUGGAAAGACUAAUUACAGUGUGCAUACCUAGCAUGUGUAUUUAACAAAAACAGUUACAAACGUACUGGUGAUAUUAUACAAAAGAAAAUUAUCACAAAUAAAAUCACAAAAAUAUUUGGAAUUUGUCCAUUGAAAUAUGAAAGAAAUUUGCCAGAAAAUUCCUCUUAGUCAUGGUCCUCUUUUGCCUGAAAUUCAUGUUACCUCUUUUUUAUAUAUUAAAAAAAAAAACAUGACCUUGUUCUCUAGCAAUUUAUUUUGAAAAAAUGCAUAUGCAAGCACCUUUCUCCAACAAGCAGCAUGGUAAAAAAUAAAUGCUUCCCUUGAAGCCCAUCCCACAUUAAAUGCAUUCAGUUUUUGUAUAUCAAGAGGGCAUUUCAAGGUGGUUCACACCCUGCACUGCUGCAAAUUUAGCACCACGCCCGUUACUAUUAAUAUCUUGUGAUCCAGAUAACAUACUUUUUUGUGUACAGCACCCUUCAUAACUUUGAAACCCAUAAUUUUUUUUCUACUUUGUAUUACAAAAUAAUAUAAAUUUUUAAUUGCAUAAGUAAAAUCUAAAACUGAAAAAUAAAAUCUGCUUUCCCCAAGAAUAAAAAUAAAAUCCUCUUCUUUUCAUUUUAUUAGACUUUCGGCAAAACAAUCUAAUGUAUAUUGUGCCUUUGCUUUAAAAUAAUGUUGUAGAUGCAUCUUAGUCGCAUCUCCUAUUACUUUGUGAAACAGAUCUGUAGGGAACUUCUGCCUACAGACAGCUCAAUGCUAAAAACCUCUUUUGAAACAAGCCUCACAUUAGACAUGCUGAACAUUAUUUUUAAAACCAGCGGACAGUUUAACCACUAAGCAUCCACUUAAACAAUCCAUAUUCAUUGGUCUAAUCAGGCACUGUAAUGAGUAAUUCCUGUUUGAUAAGAGCUCAGGUUGGGCUCUCUUUAGCACAUGGGACCUUAUGCAUAGAAAUGAUACAAUCUCAGAAUUUAGUGGUUACAAUGGAAAAAGGCUUGUUAUGAGACUGCAACAAGCAGUUAUCACAAGUCCUAAACAAUGAGCAUUAAAAACUCAUUACAAAAUACCUCACUGAAAAUACUGAAGAAACUUAGCUGUAGGGUUGAAAAAUUGGUCUCUAAAGUGAAAUGUACUAAAAUUCUUCUAGAAACAUGUUCUUUGAUCUUAUUGAUAAAUAGAAUGCCAUCACAAAAUACCACCUAGAAACUUUUGCCUUCAAGUGCAUUUAAAAAAAAAUAAGCAAGAAUUAGCAAAUUGAGAUCAAUAGCAUUUUACAGAUUGGAAAUAGAGCAUCCAGUCUUUUAAAAGAUCAGUUCAAUUGGUCCCCUUGAUCUUCUUAUCCCACCAGAUCCUCUAGAGUAGAAGAUAAUAGAUAAGUAUCACAGACCACAUAUAUUAGCAAAAUUAAUAGCAGCAACACUUGGAAAUGAUAUAUAUCAUUUAUGCAACAACAGUGUAACAACAAAAUGAGAGUUAGCAACAGUUUGAAGAAGAGAAAUGAUAGUCAACUAAAAGAAAAGUGCGAGAAAAAGAACUAAAAUAGGUCACAAGCCAUGAGGAAAAGACAGAGUCUAGAAUUCAAGACCAUAUGAAUGAGAUAUGUUUUCAUGGCUUCUGAGAUAGUGCCACUCUCCUUUGAACUGCUUUUUUAAAAAAAGGGAAGAACGAUUAAAAUACAGAAACAGAAACCAUAUGCAAGAUAAUUUUCUACUGUAUUGGAUGGACCCAUGCAGAUGAAUCUAGAUUGGAGACAAGAUAGAGGAGAGCAAUAAGAAGAAUUUGCUCAAGGAAGGAGUAGAAAGGGGCUUGAUUUUGUUUAAAAGUACAAGUUAUAGGGGCAUUCAUACUAAAAUUAUAAUCCAAUAUCAAUUAUUGCAAGUAUUACAUCAAACACUUGAAAUCCAAGAUGCAAGACAAUAAUACUGCUGGCACUAAAUCAAACAUCCAUGAUUUGAGAUGCAAGAUGGCACAUGAAUACAUCAGAAAAGCAUAACUAUAACUCUAUGGAGCAGGAAAGAAUAAGAGAAUCAAGAAAAGAUUUUGGGCCCAGGCAGUCUAUCAAUCAACGUAUAAAAUUCAAUUAUUUAUCAAAAGCUCCAAUGAUGAUCAGGAAAACUAAAUUUUAUGUAGGGUAGAGAACUCACCAAGUUGAAGUACAAGCUCAAGCAAUCACCCAAAAGGAAACACAAAGUUGAUGCAAGAGUUGGCAAGAAUGAUGGCAUACAUAAGUGUGAAAAAGUUUGACUGCAAAAAGAAUAACAUCUUCACUGCAUUGGGAUGACUCGGUUUUCGAUCUUCUAUAUGAGGAGAAAACAUUAGCCCAUAAUAGAAGUGGCAUUGGGACUCUUGAGUAAUAGAAGGAAGAUCUAAGACACAGACCAUUAGAUCUCCUAAUUCUUUAGUAAAUAUAACAGCCAGAGGACAUGGACUCUUAGUAAAUCAUGAAGACAUUUAAUUUCCCAGUGAUCAUUAAAUCUCCAAAAUGGGCUCUUUUUAGGAAACACAAGAGCAAGAGAACAUGGGUUCUCUUAGUUGCCCCUGUUCUGUUUUAAGGAAGUUGUCAACUGUGACCUCUUUUAAUUGCUCAUGAUCUGUUUUAAGUAGUCGACUGAGAAUCGAAUCAGCCCCUAAAAUCUGUAAUCUAGCUCUGAUAUCCCCAAAUCCAUCAUUAGUUUAGACAAAUUUAGAUAGGAGUAUUUUUGGAAUAGUUGUGUUCUUAAAGCUGUUUGUCCUGUCUAUAGGAUAGAGGUUUUUUUAAGCAAAGUUCGCAAAUAUUUAGCCUUUAUAAAGUUGCUAGGGUAAACAUUCAUCUUCUUCAUUAUUUAUCAGCUCCAGAAAUACAUAAAAAUCAUAAAUACAUGGAAACGAUGAACAAACAACCUUAGUUCCAUAAAUACAUGAAAAUAGGGCUGGAAAUGGGCCGGACUGGGCCACACCCCUCCGAGCUCAGCCCAAAAUUUUUUUCAGGCUUCGGGUCAAACUUUGUCCCAAAACUUUUUGAAAAACUCAGGCCCGGGCUCGGGUCGGGCCCGGCCCGAACCCAAUUGGGCCAGCCCAAUCCCUCUCUUAAAAAAAAGCCUAACCCCCAAAAAAAAAGAGAAAAAAAACCGUUGUAUUGAGGAGGCUAAGCCCUAACCUCCGGCUCCUCUGCCUUCCUCUACCUACACACUUGUUUUCAUUGGAAUCCAUGUGCUUCAGUGCCACCCAAGCGAUCAUCUCCCUCUCAAACCUCCAAACAUGGUUGAGGCCGAUGAGCAGCUCGGCGAUGGCGGCCUCCACCUUCUCCCAGUUGGCGAAGAAGAGCAUCUGGAGGAGGAGCACGCCGUUCUGGGGCACCACCGCAAAGCGCUCCGUCUCCCCUCAAAGCUCCGCUCCCCUUGCCACCGCACGAUGUCGUGCGCCACUAGCCCCAACCACUCACCAAUGCUCAUCCAUCGGUGAGCGCUGUGAGAUGCCGCCUAGCCACAAGGUUCUUGGGUCAUAGAGCGUCAAGAUCUUGUCCUUCUAAACAUCUGAUGAUGGACAGUGGGGAGUGGGCAACAUCCGUGGCCUUGCGGCCGCUCAGGAUCUCAAAGUGGAGAAUGCUGAAGCUGAAGACAUCGAUCUUGGUGCUGAGAUUCUCCGGGGUGACAUUGCUGGGGUUGAGGUGGCCAAGGGUCCCCACCGACGGUGGGGGGGCGAUGGGCACGGGGCUCCAACUCGCAGCAAAUGAAGGGGAUGCAGAUAGAAGAUGGACCAGGGGCUAGGGCUUAAUUUGAUUAGGGCUAAUUGAUUAAACCAAGUAGCUACCACUAACUGAUUAAUUGAUUAGGCUCGGGCUAACUCAGGUCAAGUAUUUGGGCCAAACUAAUUUGAGUAUGGAACUAGACUUGGAUCGGAUAUUCGGGCUACUAAUCAGGCUAAAUUCGGGCUCGGGCUCGAGCUGGGCCCGAGCUGGGCCAAAGGUAUGCCCAAGCAGCCCGAAAAACAAACAGGCCCUAUAUUAAGGCCCAAGCCUGGUCUGAAUUGUUUCGGAUCGAGUCCGAAGCCUGAUCCAAAGUCGGCCAAGCUCGAUGGGCCUUGGGUCAGCCUGAGAUCAAUUCCAGCACCAUAUGAAAAACAUUAUUCAUUAGUGCAAAUACAUGAAAAAAAUGAACGAACAAAACCACACUUUUCCAAAAGCAUCAAGAGUACUUGAAACCAAAUGUGAAUAUUUAAGAAAAUAACUAUGCUUCUAAUGCAGAGUCUACUUGUUUGGUCAACAUACUGCAGCUUCAUUUCUAACAACAUUUUAUUCAAUAUUACAAUGUUUAAAAAUUAAGAUCUUUAAUUUUUCAUCAUUAAAUUUCCAGCAAUGUUCUAGUUGUCAGCAUAAAGGAACAGGAACUACAUUAUAGCAUAUUUUGACCUGGUUUAGAAUUUCUACUGGCAAGCUUGUUAUGGGUGAAUAUAACUAGCAUACGUAAUUUUUGUUAAUGGCACAUCUUGCUUCAUUUCAGUCACUAGCGUCAGAAUUUUCUGUCAAUAUGAUGUUUUAAAAGCCUGCUAGGGUCCUCUUUACAUUGGUGUGCAUAAAUCUCACUCAUAUUUACAUUGGCAUGCAUAAGUAUCACUAAUAUUUACAUUGGCAUGCAUAUGUAUCGCUAGUAUAAGAUUGAGUCAUGGUUUACCAUACCACCCAAUACCACUCCAUACAAGGCAUAUCGUACCAUAGCGGGGAGAAACUAAUAUGAAAUCUCACUUCGAAUCGGUACAAAUGUACCGCUCCGUACCAACGCAUACCGAUCCAUACCGACCUGAACCAAAAUGUACCAAAAAAAAAUUGAAAAAAAUGGUUUAGAAGCUAUUUCGGCAUAAGAAGCAUACCGUACCGUACCAAAACAGCAAGGUACCAAUUCAGUACCUGGUACCGAGAUAGCGAACAUUGAGACUAAUAGUGAUAUCGGUCUGCUUUCUCUCAUGGCACUGAAGUUACCUAGAUGCUCACAUUAAAGGCAAUGCUGGCUCAAGUUAUGUCAGCUUCCUAUGGUAACUAGUACAAGCAUGAUAUAUACCAAACCUCAUAUGAUAGGCUGGUAUUUUCUGAACCACAUUGGAUAGCAAGAUAACCAGCAUGACCAUGCCCUACUUUAGUACUACAAGGGUUUACUCCUCUCCAAAAUUCAGUCCUUUAUCUAAAUUUCAUGUCCAUUUACAGUACUAUCCGCUGUAUGAUAAGACAACAUCUCAUUCAGCAAGAAAUUGUAGCUAAGAUGCUCCAUUCACCCAAAUAAGCACAAACUUAAUGUAUGGUCUCCUUUGUGGCAUACACACACAAAAACAAAAAAAAAAGUAGUUUCUCCCAACAGCCAGUGGUUCUGAGAUCAAGAGAACUUUAAUAACUUUAUCUAAUUUCUCAACAAAUUCAAGAAAAUGUGCAACACUAAAUUUAAAGCAACCGUCAAUCCUAUGACAAAAAUGACCAUUAGCCUGGCGAUUGGUGAUCGUUUUUAGUUGGCCCUCAUCAAAAAGGCAGAAGUGCCUUUAUCCCACUCAAACUAAUAAUGGGAAUCCACAUGUAACAACCUCAAUGCCCUGGUCAAUGGGCAGCAGGUGCAUAUAUCAUCCAACUACAUGCAUUAACAAAUUAUCAUGUCAUCUUAUGAUGCCCACUUGAUGUUGGAUGUCAACAGAACUAUCAGGAUUAUACAUUUUAGCAUGGUGGUCUGUCUACAGCAUUCUUAGCCCUCUAGUUCUCAUUCAGCACCAACAUAAGAAGUAUUAAUGCUUACAAAUAUUCACUAUCUAAAAUGAUGGUCUCAAAAUCAGGUUAGGAUUGAAGCAAUUUGACCCUUCUCUCGUUACGAUUAAGGUUGUCUCCUGACACGAUAAUACUUGCAAGUUGCAACUAUACUUUGUGAUUCCAGAAGUAAUCAUGCCAAAACAAUUAUGAUUCCACAGGCAAAUCAAUGGCACUAUACUUUAUGCCUCAAAUAUCCAUUUCGGCAAGUAGAAGAGGAGUUGACUAUCUGAAAAUGCUUGUGUCACAAUCAAUAAUUUUUCUAGCCCUUAAAACCUAAUUUAUCUGAACAGUACAAGUUGCAACAUCCAUAUGAUUAUGUUUGAUCACAGAACACAUUAUUCUUAUUUUGUCCUUUACUUGCUUGUGUCUGCACUGUUUAUGCAUAAUGUUAAUUUAGAGACUUGAAUCAGUUGGCUUUUCACAAUAUGGUGCGUGUGUGAAAUUGAUUAGAGACAAUAUACAUAACUAUAUAGAUAAAACUAAAUAGGGCUUUCAUUUGGUUGAGGACUGUGCAGAAUUUAGAUUUAAAAAUGUGAAAGAGAAUCAGCAACAGAAAAUUGAACAAUCUACUAUUCUUGUGUUUUAAAUCCAACUCUAAAGGUAAAGCUAGGCUGCAUUAAGGAUGCCACACACUUUUGAGUAUCAUCGGAUAACCUAGGGGGCUAAAAAUAUGGUAAUGCAUCCCAGGUUUAUAUUGUAUCAAGAAAAGCGAUAGAAAGUUCAGCAUUGAUAAUCAUCUACAUAUUGUAUCACCGUAUUGACGUGAAAAAAGGCACCACAAAAAAAAAAAAAAAAAAAACUUUCCUUAUAUUCUUGUGCAUGAUGUACUAUUAAUAAAAGCACACUUCAAAAGUUAAUUCCAUUAUCCAAGAAUAUCAGAUAAUUCACUAAAAGAGUUGCCCGAAAUAAUAAUAAAUGCCAAUUCCAACACCACAUAUCAAAGUAGCAUUCAAGCUCUGUGUUGUUGAUCAGCUAAAAAUCUACGUUGCCAUAUUGGCAAGCAAGAAUUAAAGUUUUUUUGGGGGAAAAAAAUAUUUAGUGUGUAAGAAGAAUAGAGAUAGAAAGAAAGCUAAACAAGAUAACCUGUGAAGCUCCAGGAGAGACCCGCUUGACAGCCAUAUCUACUGGAGGCCUGCUGUUAGCCAUAGAUGGGUUACCAUCCACCAACAUAAUGGUAUCAAGAACAAGAUUACAAGAAAGAGGCGUUUUUUUUCUUUUUCUUUGUCUUUUUUCUUUCCGGGGGGACGGGAGGGUGUGUGGGGGAAUGGGAAGAAAAGAAAAUUCGGUAAGAAAACUGAGAUGAAGAAUCGAAAGCUUACUUCGAAUAAACUGGGACCGAAGGGGACGACGUGCUCGAGAGAAGCAACCGCCGCCGUUUGAUCAGCGGCAUGUAGUCAAGAUCAUCCAUCCAGCACUUAUCUCCUGCCCUAAUCUUGACCUUGUCUGUAGACCCGUCGAUAGCAAUGGCGGAAUCCAUUCCCAGCUAGGGUUUUCUCGCGCCAACGCCUCGGAAUUGGAAGCCGGCCAUUCCACUGGAGGAGAAGAAAGUGAGGGAAAAGGAGAAGAAGAAGAGGUGAAAUCACAUAAUUAGGGUUUGAGAGAGAUGGAAAGGUUGAAGGAAAGAGAGAAGGAGAGGAGAAGAGGAGAAGGAAAGGUGAUACCUGCGCAUUCUGGUCGCCGAUAUGGAGCGGGUAGGGCUUUCGCCGAGAGAAGGGGAAAAGACCCCUCGAGCUUCCGAGGCAGAGGGGCCAACGGGCACUCGGGCGGUAUGGAUUCUUGAUUGGUAUUCUAAUACUCCCAGCCAGCGCAUGAUAGGCAUGGCCCGGAAUGACAUGCCACGUGACGGAACUUUGGAGUCAACCGAUAACCAAUAUGCUUGAGGUUUUUUUAUUAUUAUUAUUUUUCAACAAACUAAGUAUCCAUUCUGUUGAGGUGUAUCGAGUUACGUGAUAAUUUGGCAAUUCAUAAAAAUUAUUUAUUAAAAAAAUAAUUAUAAAAAAAUAAAUUUUAUCAUAUUUGAUUAAUAAAAAAUUAAUUAUAAAAAUAAUAUUAAAAAUUAUUAUAUUUGGUUGGAGAUAAUACUAUAUAGAAAUACAAUAAGAUUUAUAAAUAUAAUCUUCAAUAUAAAAUAAUUUUUUAAUAUUAAUAUAGUAUUAUCAUCUCCAAUUAAUUCUUAUACGAUGAUUAUAAUCAUAAAGUCUAUUACAUAAUAUUAUCUUCAUCUUAAUUAUUUUAUAAAAUUUUUCAUUGAACAAAUUUGAAAAGACAUCCGAACAAAUUCAAUGAUUACACAUAUAAUUUUAUUAGAAAUAUUUUUAUCAAGUAUGAAUUAUUACCAUUCAAAAAUUUAUCGAAUACCAACUUCUAUCGUAUUUAUUUUAUAUUUUUUUAUAAAAAAUAAAUAUAAGAUCCAUCAAUUUUUUUAUCAUUUUUUUUUAUACUAAAUAUCAUAAUUGGGCAUGAAAUUUAUUUUUCCGUGUUGGAUUGCCUCUAAUCAAAUGGAUUCUAAUUCUUUGGGAUAUGACCAGGGUCAUAAAAUUUAGAUAUGCAAUGCGAUCGUGAUCAUGUAAUACUGUAGCAUGUAACAGGUGCUCGAGCACAGUUCAAUAAAUAUUUGGAUGUUUUUAAUUGAGGUUUAAAUGUUCUUGGACAAUUUUAAAUUGGAUGAUUUGGCAAUUUAUGGAUUAUGUUCAUAGAUUUGUACUGUGUCAUGACAUGUAUGAAGUAUGAUUAGCUCCAUGUGAAUCAUGACGUAUUAUACUUGCAAGUUUCAUUGGGAAAAAGAUCGUGGUAUUUUGGUUUAUGUGGGAUCCAACCCUCAAAUCUAUUUUUUGUUAUAAUGAUUUUGCAUAAAAAAAACAUAAACUGGUUGAUUCUUGGUAUGGUGUCAAUUAUGAUCAUGUGUGCCUUAGUAUUGGAAGAAAUAUAUUCGUAAUCAAACAAAUCUCCAUAUUCCAAGAGAAAUGAGAUCAAAUAUUAUGAAAAAACCUCCGAAAUCCGGACAAUGGAGGACCGUAUUGGAAAUUUUGAGCAACAGAAUACAAAUAUAAUUGAUUUAAUGAUCAAGCCGAGUUGUUACCAUGUGAACUCUACCUUUUGAUAGAUUUUAGUUAGGAAUAUGCUUGGACUCCACCAUACUGCCAAUCAACAAUUCAGUAAUAAGCAUCAUCCGUCAAGUCCGAUAAUAAUUCUCAAUAACGCAAUAUCAAGCAUCAUUUGCCAAUCUAGGUAGCACAUCUAAGCAUGAUAAUUUACAGUUGGAUAUGUAAAUAAUAUCAGAAGCAUUAAUAUCUUAAAUUAAAAGUAGGAAAAGAACUUCUUUACAAAUGAAAUAAUGCAAUUAGGAUUUUGAUCAUCCCUCAACAACAGUGCCUUUUUUGAAUAUGCUACUUUUGAUAUAAAAAGUACAUAAUAUAUGUAAAUAUGAAAUUAGUAACUAAAGACUCGUUUUCAUGAUAAAAGUUAUAAUAUAAUAUUCCCUCUAUGGCUAGAGUAGGGGGAAGUGGGGAGCAGGGCGCACGUACACCUCUCCCUCUCUCGAGUCUAUUAAAAACUUUCACAGCUUCCUAUUUUGAAUAAACUGGUCCUCCAUAGCAGUCGAUUCUAUAUGCCUCUUUGUUUAAAAAAAUGAUGGUUGUGUUUUUUUUCGUGGAAUGCAUGUUUUUCUCUCAUUUUUGUUUUCUCCUUUUGUUACAAGAAUCCAUAAUUUCAUAAAUUUAAAAAUUUGAAGAUUCAAAUUUGUUAGUGUUUUAAGAAGCACAAAUAAAGUUAUGAGAAGACCAUAUAAUAAUUUUAAAAUAUGUGAUUCCUUCGAGGAUUAUUGCAUGAAUUUUAUAACCAAAAACAGAUUAGCAAAAGGAAAUAAUCAAUAAAAACAAUUAACUAAAAAUCAGGAUAUUUAUUUAUGAUGGAUGAAUAUAAUUAAGUUAUGCUGUGUGUUUAUUAAUAAUACCUCUUUGAAUGAAAUUAUUAGUUUUGCUGGUCCUCUUUCUUCAUCAUGAUGCUGCUAAGCAAUAUAAUCAUUUUAAUGCAUAGACAACUACUCAUUAAUUUUAAAUUGAAUUCAAAGAGAAUAUGAGUUUUAGAUAUGUGAAGCACAUAAUUUGGCAACAAACAACCUCUGAACAGAGCCUCCUUUGUGCACCAUAUCUGAGUUUAAUAUUCAAAAAAAAAAAAAAAAACACAACAAUCCCUUGUUCGAUCCUUGGACAUUCAAAUUAGAAUAAUUAGUUAAAGCGAUGUACUUUCAAAGUAAUAGAAAUAAUUUCUUUAAUUUAUAGAAUAAAAAAAAGUGCAACAGAAAUGAAAUGAUGCAGUAUAAAGGAGGACUUGAAUGAGCAAAAACAAUUCACUAUAAACCAGAGAAUGUUGUGAUAGGUCCUUAUAUUGUCAUUGAGGCUUGAUGUAUUUUUGAUUUUUUUUAGAUUAAAUUUAUGUUAAAUCUUUCAACAUUAUAUGCAUUUAUUAUUUUCUGACUGUGAUUCUCCCUAUGAUUUUCCCAAUGUAUUUGAACAAUACGUACAUCACACACGUCUUGCAAAUUUGUACUAGCUAUAGCAAACAAAUUACCAUGUUGCUAAUAGUAUCAUCUAAAGGUACACAUGUAUAUGAUCCUUCCAGCUAUAUUCUAAACAAGAACUGAGAGUUUUAUCAAUAGUGUAUUUUAGUCAUAUGAUAUAUGUAUAUCGACCAAGAUAGUGCACAUAGUGAAGUUAGUGGGAUAUAUAUUAUCUAUAUUUGUACAAUCAACUUGAUUAAAAAUUCAUUUACUAUAUACAUUGUAAAGCUUGUCAAUCAUUGCUGGCUAAGUUGCAUUGAAGAAGAGGUUUGAACCCUAAUGAACUUUGAGAGAAAAUAAGAUUUAGUAAGAAAUUAAAGAAGCCAUACAAAAAAUCAUAAAAGAAAUAUCUUAGUAUAAGCGGACUCUGAGAAAUUUUGAAUAAGGAGGAAGAGAGAUAGUUUUAGACCAAGAGAAAAAUAUGAGAUACAAUGUGUUAUAAGUUAAAAUUUUUUAAAAAAUAUCUUAAAAUUAAGAUUUUAGUUAAUAUAAUUGGAUUAUAACCAGUUUCCUAAAAAUAAGCAUACAUUAUGACUACUUUUUAUUAAAAAAUAUAAUGCAGUUCCUCCGAAGGAUUUGACAGACAAAAGGGGUGAUUUUUUAUCUGAUGUAAUUAAUUUUUAAAAACAAUGGAUAUCCAUCUCUAUAUGAUCGAGAAAACAAAAAAUAAUAUUGAAAUUUUGGUUUUCCUAUUUUCCUUCUCAAACCUUCUAAAUCAUGAAUGUACUGGAAAGACAUCCAAGCUGUGGCAGUUCUUGAUAUGUUAGCAUAUCCCUAGCAUCAUGCACGUGCGAUCUAAAAGAAAAGAAUGCCAGGGAGUUCAGGGAAAAUGAGUAGUACUCUCAACAUCCUUGAGCUCAUCUUUUAAAAUGCAACCCAGGUUGGAUGCAUAUUUUAUCCGCUCGCUACUUUUCCAUCUUCACACGUAGGGAUUGAGUUAGUGCCUCCCUUCCCCCCGUGUACUCACACUCAUUUCUUUUAAUUAAAUACAUCAUUUCACGUGGACGCUAAAAUUGAGAAAGAAAGAAGCACAUCAUGCUAUACGAGAAGUAUAUCUAACAAAUGAGUUUUGCGAUGGCGGAUCAAUCUUACUUUUAUGUAGGAGUAAAUAUUUAUUACCUUUUUAUGUUAUUUUUAUUCUUUUGUUACGGAAGACUGCCGGCAACUACCUUUCCUCACUCACCAAAAAAAAAAAAAAAAAAUCCUCUCUCCUCCUCUCUGUCCCUUUUCUCACCCUAGUUUCUGCUGCCUCAUUUUCUAGCAAUCGAGGUUCGGCCAGGGUUUAGCUAGGAGCCCAAGGUUCGCCGGCAGCAGAAAAUAUAACUCGGCAUUGAUGCAUCCAAGUACAAAUUAACAAGGAUGAAUAACUGGAAAUGUGGUUAUUUUGGGAUGAGAGAUGAGUGGAGAGCAAGAAAUUGGGUAACGCAGAAAUCGACAUAGGAGUAUCAGUAUGGUAGCUAGGUAGUAGAAAGAGGGAGAAGUUGGCAGAGAAUGAGUGGUGUUUUAGUACAUCAAUUAAUCUGAAAGCUACUACAAAUUUUGAGCUGUUAGAAGAUUUUAUAUAUUAAGAUUUAAUUCUAUAUGUAAAAAUUAAAUAUAUGCAGAUAUCUUAAGCUCUCUGACUAGAGGCACAUAAAUAUGAUCAAAUUUUUGCUUUGAUUUUAUUAAUAUGAAAGUAAUAAUCGAUGCUCAUAAUUAUUGUAAUUAAUAAUUUGAUAUUUAUUAGUAUAAAUUGGAUGUUCGAAUAAAUUUUUAUAUGACCAUCGUAGAGUUACUUAGAAGACUUAAUGCACAAAAAAUUUAAUUCCAUUCAUAAAAGUCAAUUAUAUGUAAAUAUUUGAAACUUCUCAUGAUCAACAUUUUUUUCACAAAUUUUCUAUGGACUAUGGUAGAGAUAAAACGCUACUCUCUCUUGGCAAGCCAACGACCCAUCAAAACCUUCUUUAUUCAAGACACUUUCGAUUGGUAUCGAGCUUGCAAUGGAUGGAGAACCAAGUUCGGAACGGACAUCAAACACUAGAACAAAAUCGUUACACAAAUUCAGUUUAAAUUUUCAUCCCAGCCAUUCAUCAAAUCAAUCAAAAUGCCCCUCGUGAUUCGCCCGGACCCCUCCCCAAAAGACCUUCCCGCCCAUCGCCUGCUUCCCGUACGCACCCCCACGCCCCUGCCCUAAUGACACCAAAAUCUAAAGGUAACAAUAGAAAAUCUAAAAAGCUGCGUCCGAGUUCGAAAUUUGACCGUUGUUUCCAGCUGGUCGCCACGUCAACAGUGGGCCCCAGUGGGGCCUUCCGCCACUGCCAAGAUGCUCCCAGGGUACCUCGAAACGGCUAACCGGUUCCUCGUCCGGAUCCACCGCCUCGCUCUGCCCAUGAUCCUAUGCUCCAAGGAAGAUCUGCCGUCCGAUCGCUGACAAAAGGCUUGUGAUCGAAGGGAUCGGAUGGGAGUCCCUGGAAAGACCACAAAGCCCCAGUCCCUCCUCUUCUUGGUUCCCCACUUCCAUAAAAGUCUCGCCUUUACCAUAUUCUCCUCUGUUUUGUUCCACCCAACUCAACUCAAACCAGGGGGAAAAAGGCCUCUUUUUUCCAAAACAUUCUUCUCUUCUUAGAUUUCUCUCUUCUUCUCGCUUCUUCUACUGAUAUUUUUAUUCUUGUUCUUUAGAUUUCUUCGGUCAAGGGGAGGAGAAAAGGGGCUCUUUUUCCCUCUUCGUGCUUUGUUUUCUCCGCUGUUCUUCUUCUCCGGUGAUUUCUUCGAUUUCUCGAUUUCCUAUCUUUUACCUAUUCUAGUCCCCAUUACCCGAUUGCUUUAUGUGAUUGGAAGGACGAAGUGUUCUUCUUUUGAAGGGGAAUCGAUGGCGCCGCUUCUCCUCUUGCUUCUGGCGAUCUCGGUGGUUUAUGCGGACGAAGGUGCGGAUUCUCUUCUUCUCUGAUGUCAAAAUCUUUCUCUUUUCUCCUUUUGUUUGCGUUCGAUUCAUUCUUCAAGCUAUUUGAUUUCAGACAGAUUUCUUACUCUUUACUUGUUCGUAUUUUUUUUUCUUCGGCAUUUUUGGAUUUUGCGAGAAAUGUUAGCUGAGAGGUAGGGCUUUGUCACAGUCCUCUCCUCUCGAGCUCAUCUAUUCGAAGAUUCAGAUGUCCUACAGAUUUGUCGCUUUAUUUGUUUCCAUUUACAGUAUUACUUCAGUCCAGUGUUGUUGUAGACUUAUAGGAUGGAGUCUUUUGUUUUAUUUUGCGGAAAAAGCAUUAGUCUUUGGGCUGAUUGAUGUGGAUUUUUUUCUUCUUUAGCUCACCGUAUUUCCCCAUCAUGGCUAGAUGUGUUUAUUAGAUUUAAUUUACUUUGGCCAAUGUAACUUGCUAGGUUUUCUGAGCUGGUGGAUUGUCAAAAAUGUGCGUCCUUUUUUUUUUUUGAUAAGAAAAAUGUUUGGCCUUCUUUAUUGCAUGCAGUGAACAUAGGACCGACCUUUACCCAAAAGUAAAAAAAAAAAAGGACCUUGGGUAGGUUCCUCGUUGGCGGGUGGAGUAUCAAGUCAGCUAUCAUUUCUUGUUCCAGAUCUUGCAUAACUACAAACUAUUAUAUAUUCCAAACGAGGAUGGUGACACCGAUAUUUUUUUUUUUUGGGAGUCGGUCGGGAAGUUUUAAUCCAUGUUAGAAAACCACCAUCUUUCUAUUUGAUUUGGGGUGAGUGGUUGAUGCUGUGCUAUCAACUAAUAUCUCUAUCUGUCUCUCCAUAUAUAUAUAAAUAUAUGUUUCACGAAAGGAUGGUAACCCACAUUUUUCUGGAGUGGUCGGGAUUCGGUAAGUUUUAAUCCAUGCACGUUGGAAAACCACCACCUUUUUAUAUGAUUUUGGGGUGAUUGGUUGAUGCUAUGCCAUCGCGGGGUAUAAUAUAAAAGUAUAUUAAAUUGUUUAGGUAGGUAGUUAACGUAAAAAAUUUUCAGAGUAAUCACUCUUUUUCUUUGAGCCGAGUUGGUGUGACUGGAACGAGUUGACUCAUGUUUGUGAUGCGAUGGUGACUAUUGUGUGCUGCGGACCUGCGGUGAAGUGGGUCCGGGCUCUGCAGCGAAUCUCUUUUAGAACAUAAAAUCAAAGAGACCGAUCAUUAUGUAACAACAAUAAAUUCCUCAGCCACCGUGAGCACAUUUGGGAGCAGUAGAUUCGCAGGCCCCUCAAGCAUACCAAUGGAGGCAUCUUGUCUAACCUUAGUUUUGAAAGUUUGUUGUUUGCUUAAAGGAAUCAAUGGCGGAUCGACAGCGAAAUAACGUGGGCGUACAGUGGGGGCAAGAAUUCAAAUCUUGGGGCGAUUCGAAGUCGGAAAGACGUCCGUUCGCCGACUUUAUGUGACAUGUGUUGGUGACGUGCUCCCGCUUCCUCUCCGUGUCCCAUUAUCAUCGACCGGCUUUAAUCAACGGCCAAUAAUCAUCGUGUUGGAUUGCCUGGAUCAAUAAACAAUUGGUUUCUUAUCUGGUAAAUUUGUUUUAUUGCUUUGUCUCAUUGGCUUUAUUGUUGUCUUCGUAUGCUUGCGAAAGCGGCAGUAUGGUUUCCGCUUCUUCCGCUCGUCCUCGAGAUCCGAUCCCAUCGCGCCUCUGUGGGGACCCGGGAGUCGAUCAGACGCUCCUAUGGAAAUGCGAUAUCUAUCAAUCCGAUGAUAUGGGCCCAUGCGUGAAUAGACGGUGAUCUGGUCACCUUAUAUCGUUCCGACGAUUCGAGCCCUGGGAUUAGAAAUAGACGGCGGAUCUCGGGACUCUCAUAGACAUGUCUGUGCAGUUUGCUUUCACGAAACUGUUAUCACCAUUCUGGUUGCACGUGGCGCCCGUACCCAGUUGUCUCCCGGAUCAGUUUGUUGCUCGACAGCUAGUCUUCGAUUGCUGUUCCGCUGGACCACGUUAGCAGAUAUAUCAUCACGAUCGAGUCCCUUUUUUUAGUUUUUUUUCCUUGCUUUUCUAUCUUUCUCUCUUUAUUUUUUUUUUGGUAAGUUUCUAUCUUUCUCUCUUUAUUUUUUUUUUGGUGAGUUUCUAUCUUUCUCUUCAAAUAAUAAACAUGUCACUUACUGGUUUAUUUGAUUUCAAAAGGUUUUUUUAUUACAUUUGCGCAUUUUAGCAUUUGCUGAGGGCUUUGGACUAACGUGCGCAGGGGCGUACAUUGGGGCGAACAUCGGGACGGCGCUGUCGGACAUGCCGUCGCCGACUCAAGUGGUGGCGCUGCUGAAGUCGCAGCAGAUCCGGCACGUGCGGCUGUACGAUGCGGACGCGGCCAUGCUGGCGGCGCUCGCCAACACCGGCAUCCGCGUCACCGUCUCCGUCCCCAACGAUCAGCUCCUCGCCGUCGGCCAGUCCAACGCCACCGCCGCCAACUGGGUCGCCCGCAACGUCGUCGCCCACGUCCCCACCGUCAACAUCACCGCGGUGGCCGUCGGCUCCGAGGUCCUCACCGCCCUCCCCAACGCCGCCCCUCUCCUCGUCCCGGCCCUCCGCUACGUCCACUCCGCCCUCGUCGCCGCCAACCUCGACCGCCAGAUCAAAGUCUCCACUCCCCACUCCUCCUCCAUCAUCCUCGACUCCUUCCCCCCUUCCCAGGCCUUCUUCAACCGCUCCCUCGACCCCGUCAUCUCCCCUAUGCUCAAGUUCCUCCAGUCCACCGGCUCCUACCUCAUGCUCAACGUCUACCCUUACUACGACUACAUGCAGUCCAACGGCGUCAUCCCUCUCGACUACGCGCUCUUCCGCCCGCUGCCGCCCAACAAGGAAGCGGUCGACGCCAACACUCUGCUUCACUACACCAACGUCUUCGACGCCAUCGUCGACGCCGCUUACUUCGCCAUGGCUUAUCUGAACAUCACCAACGUCCCCGUCGUCGUCCUCGAGUCCGGCUGGCCCCACAAGGGGGACCCCUCGGAAGAGCCCGAUGCCACCGCCGACAACGCGGACACCUACAACAGCAACCUUAUCCGUCACGUGCUCAACAGCACCGGCACCCCCAAGCACCCGGGCGUCCCCGUCCCGACCUACAUCUACGAGCUCUACGACGAGGACCAGCGGCCCGGGACGCUGUCGGAGCGCAACUGGGGGCUCUUCGAUGCCAGUGGGGUGCCCGUGUACACGCUGCACCUCACCGGGUCGGGGGUGUUGCUGGCGAAUGACACGACGAACCAGACGUACUGCAUCGCGAGGGAUGGGGCGGAUGCAAAGAUGCUGCAGGCGGCGCUCGACUGGGCGUGUGGGCCGGGGAAGGUGGACUGCUCGGUGCUGAUGCAGGGGCAACGAUGCUAUGAUCCUGACACGGUGGAGGCGCAUGCGACGUAUGCGUUCAAUGCGUAUUACCGUGGGAUGGGGAUGAGUUCGGGGACGUGCUACUUCAAUGGGGUUGCCACCGUUACUACCACUGAUCCAAGUAAGGAAGCUCUCUCUGUUAUUGAACAUUCAAUUUGAAAUUAUUUUUUCCACCCUCUUGUUGCCAGAAAUUUGCAUCCGGCACCCCACCCACCACUUAAAUUGGUAUUAAAUUUAGUGUUUUUCUAUACAAAAUCAGCAUGCCUUUAGUCAUUAGUUUGAUGACUAACAUUAUGUUGCCGAGUUCAUGUAUAAACCUCGGGGCACACUCCAGGAAUCCAUGCAUCAACUCUAUAGUGAUAUAGCAUGAAGCUCUAUAAUGGUAUAUCACCAUUCACCACUAAACUAGCAAUGGGAAAUAUCUGCUCCAUUGCAAUGGUGGAACAAGUAUGCCUGUGAGCGUCUAUUACAGGGUAUGCAGAAACAUAUAUAUAGCAUGCGGGCACUAUUUAUUUUUGUUUGGUAUAGCAAUGGUAGUUAUUAUUAUUAUUAUUUUUUUGCCCCAAAUCUUACAUGAGCCAUAUCAUAUUUUUAUUAUAUAAGCGCAAAAGAAUUACACAUCUGAACUAUCUAAAAUUGGUGUAAUAAGAACAUGCAUUUUGUUUCAUAUUAGUUAUUAAACUUCAGUAGUUUAGCACUUCUGCUGUAUUCUUGUAUGUAGAAGAUUAACUCAUUUGAAAAUGCCUAUGUGCAUACAAUUUGAGUAUGUAUGCGACUAAUUUAGAAUUGUGCCAUGAAAGAUAUUGCUUCAGAAAGGCAUUUGAUUGAUAAAAUUUAUGUACUUAUUCUUAGGAUGCAAGAUCAAAUUAUGCCAGUUGUUUAUAUCUGGGUAUUUCUUUUGAUGCAGGUCAUGAUGGCUGUGUAUUUCCUGGAAGGUAUGUCGCUUUAACCUAAGAAAAUGUCAAAUUGCUUAUGACUCAAUAGUGUUAAUAUAUAGUAUCAGUUUCUUGUAUGCAAUUUUUUUUUUUUUUUCUUGAAAACAAAUAUUUUAGAUGGUAGAAGUAAAAGCCAUUUGCAAUCAUUUAGCUUUGUUGGCCUGGCCUGUAGGUGUGAUCCUUGUAUAUUAUCCUAUGAAGUCAUUCAUAUUUUCAUUAGAAAAGACCAAAAGUUACAUAAACCAUAUGGGUAUAGUCAGACAGCUCACUUUGAUGACUUAAUUUGAAUAGAAAGUAAUAUAGGUCAUGUAAAUCUUACGAUUGGCCUGGAGUCUGGCAUUUUCUUUGAUAUUUAUACUACUUAAGAUCAAAAAGAAAUGGGAGAGAAAAUUGUAUACCCUUUCCUCUUCCUUCUAUUCUGGUCGGUUAAAUGGCUAAGAUAUUUUGUCUUAUAUAUUGAAUGGGGUUUUGAAUCAUUUGAUAAAAUCAAAGAUGCUUUAUGAUAUGCUAAUGUUCUUAGAGUUCUUAUACUGACGGAGACCCCUUUGUUUGUGGAGUUGGUUUGAAGUGUCAAAAUCCGAUAUGAGAUUCAUAUAACAAAUGUCUCACCCAGUGCAUCAUAAAGUAAGAAUUCAUUAACAUUGAAAACACAACUUAGUUACCUUGAUAACGCUUCUAACAGGACAUUGUUUACGGUGAUCUGGUCAACAGUGACUAGGCUAACCUCUGUUUAUUUGAAAACUAUGCUUCAGAAUCUGUUUUUUCUUCCUUCAGUUGGCUUAUGUGAUAAAAGUAACUCUGUGACUGCCUUUAGGCCUUGGUGCUUAAGAGUUUGUACUCUCUUCUUGUUCUCUUAGAUGUUUUAGUCUUUUGAGAUUCGGCUAUCUUGAGCUAUGGGGGUCAUAUUGUUUUGGAUCUAAGAGUUAUUGCGUUUACUUUUGGAGAUCAUUAUAAGUUACAUGCUUUUGGAAGUCAGUCCGGCUUUACAGCCAUGAAAUUGGGAUGUGUUAUUGUUUCUCGUGCAGUGGUGGAAAGAAUGGCACCUUCUUUAAUGGCACAUCGCUGGCACCUGCAUCAAAUUCCACCUCGGCUGAAUCUGCCUCCCCUCACAGUUUCCAUGACACCAAGUUGCUCUUUCAAAUCUUCGGAGUCCUGCUAUUGAGUCUGCUAUUCUUGUAGUUCAUGAUCUCUCUUCUUUUUGUUCAGAGUGAUCUUGGAUCAGAAGCCUUGGAAUUGAAAAUUGGAUUGAAUGUGGACUUCUGAGGGGGGAUGUGCUUCCUUUUUUCGAUGAUGAAGCUUGCUGCAUGGCACACCCAAUUUUGUCUUAUGCUUAGGCGAAGGAUUUUCAUGGAAUUGGAUUAGUUCAUUGCCAUUCCUUUUGUUUCUGUUUCUUUAGUUGGACUGAUUGCAAAUUUUUGUACAAAGAGAUCUAAGUAGUUGAUGAUCCAAGAACUAGAGACUGUUGCUCUUUGAUCACGCUCAUGUCAACUGACAUGUUAUUUAUUGGAAUUGGUUUGUUCCUUUUCAAUUUUUCCUCAUCCUUGCGAUAUGUUUAUUAGAUUUUGAAAACCAUUUAAAUCAAUUAACUUGUAGAGGGUAUUGUUUCAAGGCAAAUACCAGUGUUGCAUAAAGUCUUGGCUAUUUCGGUUGAACAAAUUAAUAAGCUUCUAGUAGGCGUUUGCAUCUUCAUCUCUAACGUCACGUACUCAUUUGUAUUUCUAGCAGUUAAUCUUAACCUUUUGUAUAUGAUCCUGAUGUUCUCGUCAAGGGCAUUUAUCUUCAUACCAGCAUCUCGAACGAUGAAAGCGCAACCAAACACGUCCCUCAAAGAUAUGUAGAAAAGUAAAGCUUCAGGUACUACAAUGUGACAAUGAGCAUUGAUUCUGAGAUGAUGAACAGAAUGUACAUGACAAAAGAUGGAUGGUUGCGCAUUGUUCUUCAAAUUAAAGCUAUUUGAUGGUUUUUGUGUCUGGGGUAGAAUGCUUGGCAUAUUGGGCCUUAGUUUUGUCUUUUAAGUUGAUGUUUGGUGAUCCAGAUGAGAUUAGAUGAUCUUAGAUCACUGAUGAUCUUUAUCCAAGGAUAAUUUGAUUUUUGAUUAUCUAAGAUCAUCAUGUUUAGUAUGUUAUAUUUCAGUAAUUAAAAAUUUUCAGAUAUUUAUAAUAAUUUAUUUAGUAUUCGAUGGAAAUUCAAAAUCACUAACUGUAUAAUAUUUAAAUUAUCCUUCAUAUAUUCUAUAAAUUAUAUUUAUCACUUAUAUAAAAUAUAUUAAGAUCCAUUAUUAAUAUAUAACAUAAAAUGAUAUUUAUUAAUUUUAUAAAAAUAUAUUAAUUAUUAUUAUAGAAUUAAUAUUUUUUUAUAAUAUAUGUAAUUAUUUCAAUAUCAGUACUUAUUUUGAUUAAGAAAAUUAAAAAAAUAAGAUAAAUAGAAGUAAUAUAUAAAAAAAUUAUAAUAUAAAUAUAAAGUAUAAUAAUAUAUUUUUAUUAUAUUUUAAAAUUAUAAAUAAAUUAUGAUAUGAUAAUAAUAAUAUAAUAUAUAAUAUUGAUAUAAUAUGUUAGAUAUAUUGAUAUACUAAUUUUUUUUAUUGAACCAAGAGGUAUUUUUGUCACUAAAUUUUGGUCCAAUAUUACCAUCCUAGGAUUGUCUUCUAGAGUUGUCUUCGAUAUCUGACCCCAAGGAUGAGUUUUUUAUCAUUGAGAUAGAUAGCGAUUUGAUGAGUAAUGGUAAUUUUGGAUCUCUAUCACACACGAUUAUCUAAGCAAAUAUGGUGAUAUUGUUAUCUUUAGCCGCAUCAUUCUCGAUCUUGACAUCAUCACUCUAUAUCAAGCGCUUUAGAUCCGUUCAUAAUUAUGGGAACUCUAUCCAAGAUCACGCCCUUCUACUUUGGGAGGUCAAAUAGCUGUGCCACUGGGUUGCAUGGACUUGGCAUGGCAACCAAUUUAAUGUUUGGAACAAGACUGUUGCCAACGGUACAUCGCUCAUGGGCCUGAAUAACACUUUUUGAGUGAACAGGUGGGGGCCCAUAUCUGCGAGGAGGCGGACACGUCAACUUUGGUAUAUUAAAAGAUCUAGAAGGGCAUUUCGGUAAUUCCAAAUCCAACGACACCCGGUCGUAACCCUAAUUUUCUAGGGCUACAAAUACCCGAUCGCCCCCAGCUAACUUUAUUCCUGUCCAUCUAAUUGGCUUUCGUGUCCUGUGCCUUUUUAUUUUUCUAAAAGUUCCUGUUCUUGAUUUAAUUUUCUCUUAUUCUUCGUCUGAUUAGAUUCGAUCUUUCCUAUUUGUUUUCAUUUGCUUAAUGUAUUAGUGUUAUUUUCCGUUGAAGCACUCUUUGCUUAGAUCUAUGGCUUGGAUCGGAUCACCAUCGAUCCAGAGCUUUGGGAUACAAGAGAUGCGAGAUCGAUUGCUUGGUACCUUUGGACGUGCGGUUUCCUGAUCUCCCAUGGAUCCUCGCGUUUUCUCGUAGGCUCUACAUCAUUCUCUCCACUCUAAUCUCAAGAAAUCUUUUUCUUUCUUGCGAUAAUUUAACUACUCUGCUUUUAUUUUGUGCUUUAUUUUGGAAUUUUGGGCUCGAUGAUGAUUUAUUUUGCUUUAACCACACCGAAAGAGAAGCCGGAGGAGAGGGGUCGUUUAUGGUCCCCAAUUUCUCUUCUUUGGUCUGUUGAUCUUUUGCUGGGUGUUGCCUGGGGAUCUCUUCCUUCUUCUUGUGGGAGUCUCGCUCUCUUUGGGGUGGUUUUCCCUUGGGAAGAGGAGAGGAGUGAAGGCUUCGGCAAGCUUGGGAGCAGCAGAUCCAGUUGGGUUCCCAUGUGCGAUUUUCCUCCGAUGGACUUUCUUGGAAGUGGAAAACUUUGGCCAUAAGACUGAGAGCUCUAUUAUAUUAAUAGUACCUUUUGCUGAAGUUUUUCUCUAAUUCUUGAUCUUUUUUAGGUCUCUCUGUGGCAAACUUGAAUCAAAUCAGAUGGACCAAAAUUCUAAUUU
rnacentral:lncRNA from 1 species